UGUUUUGUUUUUGUUUUUCUUAUUUCAGUUUUCUAUUUGUACGAGCGGCACAACACACACGUGUGCGAGCCCAUUUUUUGGUUUUGUUGACCGAGAAUCUGUUAUCGCUCCAAUUAAGUCUCUAACUGUUGGAUCCCAGAUACAGCAAUUCAUUCAGAAGGCUGACAGUGCUUUUUGAUUGUGUACGAGCGACCCACACAGAGGGUCCACGGGGUCGGGGCGACGCUUGGGAUGCCUUUUAUUUUCCUUUUAUAUUUUUGGUUCUUCAUUCCUGAUUUUUGAUUAUUUUUCUAUUGUUCUUCUUUUUUGUUAUCUUUUUUUAUUAUUUUUUAAAAAAAAUUCAUGUGACAGGGUGAGAUUUAACUAUGCCUCGUUCAUGCCAUCAGCCUUCGGAUCAAAUUGUUUAGCGGACAUUCCACGCAGCCCAUCUCGACCUAUUUUUUGUUUUCCUCUUUUUUGAUUGUCCCUUAAUGUUAAAAGGGAUAGAGGGGUUUGGUGGAAUAGUUCAUUGUAUUACUUGAGCCUCGUGGGCAUAUAUAUAGGAGUACAUGAUUUACUUGAAGUAUAAGGCAAGCCAGAAUAUUUUUUAGUCUAACCUAUGUUUUCUAAUACAAUCACGUUACUCAACAUCCCCCGCAGUCACAAUGAUAGCGACGCAGACGGUGAGACUGAAGAAGAAUCCGAAGCCAAGCCGACGGACCCCCCCCCCCACACACACACAGUCGUAACGGGCGACGCAUCGCGGUAUCGUGGCUGGAGUGAAAACCGACGAGGUUGCUCAAGCAAGGCGGUAGCCCUUUGUGCCGUUUGUCGAUGUAGCAGAGAGCAUAUGGUGGUGUAGCCGUGGUCAAGGUAGCCGUGCGAAGAAUGCCGUGGUCGAUGUCGAGUCGGGGUAGCCGGUGUUGAGGAAGUCGUCGUAGAGCCGCGGGCGCAAGGGGCCACCGAGUUAGCAUGGGCGCAGUGGUGUCGAAGUAGUGGUGCGUCGGGAAGAAGAUGUUGCUGACGACGCGUCGCGGCGGGUUUGCCAAGCCCGGGGACACAUCGUAGACGAAGGCACGCACUGGUGUUGCCAGUACCGGGCAUGCGUAGACGGACGAAGACGAAGGAGGUGGACGGGCGGCAGCGGCUACGUGGGUAGCGGCGGCGGUGACCAAAGAAGAGCGGUGGCGGCGGCCUGACGGCCACAGCGGCUAGGUUAGGAGCGCGGCGGCGGUGUUCGAAGUAAGCGAAGAACCCGACAGCAUGACGGAGACCGGCGCGGACGAUGACGUUCCCGCGCCAAGGGAGGCGGCGCGGUGCAUACCACAGGAAGUCAACGCGCGUGGACGACAAAGUGGACCGUGGGCCGCUGCGCUACGGCCCGAAGGGGCGACACAACGACGGUGGGCAGGUCGGGGUGACGGCGGGAAGACCUCAGGGCGGCGGCAGGGACCGCAGGCCGCAGCGCGAGAACCCGAAUGGGCGGCGCGACGGAGGAGCGCGGGUCGGUGCAACCGCAGGGACAGCCUCUGGACGGCGGCGUGGACCGCGUGCCACGCUCUCUACGGCCCGACAGGGCGACACAGUGGCGGCGCGAGGGUCGGUGCGGUCACGGGGACGACCUGGAGUGGACGGCCUCUGGACGGCGGUGGACCACGGGCCACGGUACUACGGCCCGAAGGGACGACGCAGCGGUGACGCAGGUCGGUGCAGGUGGGAGAAGAACCACGGGGCGGCGGCGCUGCGGCCCGACGGGGCGACGCAGCGGCGGCCCAUUGCUCGAUCAGUAGAGGGGCGCGCUGAACUCGGGACGGUCUUCACGAAGCCCGCGGAGGCGCGCGUAACCGACGGGCCAGGUCGGUCGCACAGCGUAGAUGAGGCGGAUCGCGGCGGCGGACGGGUGAUCAAUCCGAUCACGCGCGAGGUCGAGGAUGCCGUUCGGUGGAGGCGCGGUGGCAGCGGAGUCCGAGAUGAAGCCAGCAGCGGCAGGCGGGCAGGGCGGCUAUGAUUGGCCGUCACAUGGCGCGAGGCCGCCAGGUCGGGGCGAUGCAGGAGUCCCGGUCGGAGCAGGGCGGUGACGGCCGGCGUAGAUCGACGGGCGGGCCGUCGCGCGAACGGCGAUGGUGAAGGGCCGCCGCAUGACGCGAGGCCGCCGGGUCGGUGCGACCGGCGGGUCGACACAAGGACGCCGCGCGAGGCCGCCGGGUCGGGGCAACCAACGGGCAGACGCGCGAGGCCGCCGGGUCAGUCAAGAAGUCGGCCGAUCGCGCCGGUGUUGGAGUAGAGGUGCACGGGGUCGACGACGGUGGUAGGCAACGCAAACCGGAUCACAUAGAUCGGAAAAUCAAAAAAACCGGGAGAGAAACCCCGGAUUAAAGGAUCGGGAAAAAAUUCUCUAGGGCAGCCAGCCAACACGGCCGGGGGAUGAACCCUAGGUACGGGCGGCGCGGCCUCCGGCGGCGGUCAUGGAGGCCGACCGUCCGGGGGCGACGCGCGGUUGCAGAAGCGGUGGCUAGGGUUUGAAUCGUGAUUAGGCUGAUACCAUGUUAGAAGGGAAAAAGGAUUGAUAGAAUAAUUCAUUGUAUUGCUUGAGCCUCGUGGACAUAUAUAAGGCAAGCGAGAAUAUUUCCUAGUCUAACAUAUGCUUCCUAAUAUAAUCACGUUACUCAACACUUAACAUCGCUCACGGCCUGACGCGACGUAUUCUAUUUUUUGGUACAAGCUGGAUCGAUGAGCAGUGGUUGUACAUUCGUCUUCUCCUCAUUUUUUUGGUUGCAGCAAGUGAGAGUAGAAGAUAGAGCUCAGAUUGGAGACAAUGUAUGUUCAUUUCUCUUUUUCUUUCUUUUCUUUUAUCUAUUUCAUUUUCCCUAUUUUUCUCUUUUUUCUUUCUAGUCUUUUUGUUUCUUUAAUACUUUUUGUCGGUUUCCAUUUUUUAAUUUUGGGGUGACAAGAAUAUGUAGUUCUUAGUUAGAUGAGAUUUAGUUUAUCUUGGCUAACAACAUACCAUACUAGUUUCGGUCGCAUUUGUAAUAUGAUAAAACAGAGUCGUAAUUGCAUGUUUUCAAAAUGAGAUCGCAACUAUAAGUUUUUAAGUCAGGCCGCAACUGCAAGUAUUUAAAUUGGGAUCGCAAUUGCAAGUUUUAAAAUGGGGUCAAAACUGCAAGUUUUUAAGUCGGAUCACAACUGCAAGUUUUCAAAUUGUUAUCGCGAUUGCAAGUUAUUCAAUUCAUGUUGCAACUGCAAGUUUUGAAGUCGGGUCGCAACUGCAAAUUUUCAAAUUGGGAUCGCAAUUGCAAGUUAUUCGAUUCAGGUUGCAACCGCAAGUUUUGAUGUUGGGUCGCAACUGCUGAAAUUUGAGAUGAGCUCUAGGCCCAUAUAGCAAUUUUUGAAAAAUCUCUAAGGGCCCAUGUGGGUUAUAUGGCACUAGGUGUAGUGGAAAGUUUAGUCCCACCCCGCUAGUGGAAGAAGAGUUAGAGUGGUUUAUAAGGGUUUCUCUUCUACAUGCUAUUGGAGCUUGAGAAGAGAAGAGGCCCUCGCGCACUCCUCCACCGCCCGCCUCGCCACGCCACGACGCGCCGCGCCGCGCCGCGGGUUGCGGGAUUGAGCCGAGCCGAGCUCACACAUACGCACUUAUUUUUGCCAGUUACUAACGGAGAGUUCUUUGACAGCUGGGCCACGAUCUGAGACGUCGGAUCGUGGGCUGUCACGGACUCGGACGUGGGUCUCUCCACAUCUGCUCCACGCGCACGCCCACCGUCGUUCCCUUACUGCUGUUGCCGCCGGUGACUCCAUCCCGUCCGCCGUGUACACGGUCGACGGGAGAGCAGGUCUUCGAAACCACGCCUACUUCCUCUACGUCUGCGUCGCCUUCAUCAUCACCAUGUCCACCGACGUCGAACGUGCCGCCGCCAAGAAAGCUGAAGCCGACAAGAAGGCCGCCGAGGACGCCGAUGCCGCCACCAAAGCCGCGGCCUCUGCAUGGCCUACUGGAGGGUAUAACUCGUUUAUCCCGCUCCUACUACUUUCUGUUUAGCCAUGCUAGCGUUAUACGUAGGUCUUUCUGCAAUUAGCGUAGUAUGUGCUAGCUUGACUGAAUAUCAGUAUGUGUUUAUUUGUGUCAAUGCCGUGCUAGUGAUUUACUCUUGGAUUAAUUUAAUCGAGAAAUUGCCUAUUUACUCAACAAUCCAAAAACCUAUUAUGUGUAGGAAUUUUUCGGCAAGUGGCUUUGCCGCUGCACUGAAACCGGAUAAGUUUACGGUACAUACUUUAAGCGUUGGCAAACUAAGACCACGUUAUGACUCACGGCUAUGAACGUGUUCUGGGUCACCGGUGUCUCCACGGGAACGAUUGCUCCUGAACAGGAGAAGGUGUUCAAGGAGGCUACCGUUGUGUUUCUCGGAGCAGUUCUUAGCGUGAUCGGAGAUAAACUGGUCGAUGCAUAUUUACAUGUGCAUGUCGCCAAGGACUUGUGGGAGGCGCUCGAAUCUAAAUUCGGGGCCGCCGAUGCAGGGAGCGAGAUGUAUAUUAUAGAGCGGUUCCACGAUUACUAGAUGGUUGAAAACCGUCCUGUAUUGGAGCAGGCUCAUGAGAUAAUAUGCAUUGUUAAGGAGCUUGAAUUUCUUAAGUGCGAGUUACCGCGCAAGUUUGUCGCGGGCUGCAUAAUCGCUAAGCUCCCUAAUUCCUGGAGGAACUUUGCGACCACUUUGAAACAUCAGAGGCGUGAAUUCUCUGUGGAGGAUGUCAUUGGCCAUCUGAGUGUUGAGCAGAAUUCAAGGGCAAAAGACUUGCAUGGAAAAGGGACCGAAGGGACUUCUGUCGCCAACAUGGUGAACCAGAGGAACCAUAACUCCCACAAGCCCAAGGGAAAGAACGGUGUCCAACAGAAUACCGACUUUAAGAAGAAGGAUAAGAAGACCUUCAAGAAGAACAAGAAGGAUGAGGGCUGCUUUACUUGUGGUUCGGUUGAACAUUGGGCCAACAAGUGCCCAAACAAGUACAAGAAGCCAGGACAGGACUCCAAGUCUGUCAACAUGAUUGUGGGCAACAAUGAGAAUGGUGCAUCUGGGUACGGUAAUUUAUUUACUGUUUUUUCAGUGUUUCAACCCAACGAUUGGUGGGUGGACACAGGUCCAGGUGUACAUGUGUGUGCUGACAUUUCAUUGUUCACUUCUUACCAGGUCACAUGCCACGGGUCCGUAUUGAUGGGGAAUGGCGCGAGUGCUUCUGUUCAUGGUGUUGGCACGGUCAAUCUGAAGUUUACUUCGGGAAGGAUCGUGCAGCUGAAGAACGUGCAGCAUGUCCCCGCCAUCAAGAAGAACCUUGUUAGUGGCCCCCUUCUAUGUAGAGAAGGGUUUAAGUUGGUUUUUGAGUCUAAUAAAUUAGUUAUUACGAAAUAUGGACUCUUUUUUGGAAAAGGUUAUGAGAGCGGAGGGAUGUUCCGCCUUUCCCUCGCAGAUUUUUGUAAUAAAGUCGUGAACCAUAUUCAUUCGAAUGUUAAUGAAUCUGAAGUUUGGCAUUCACGUCUUUGUCACAUUAGUUUCGGUGUUAUGACGCGGCUAGUCAAGUUGGAUUUAAUCCCGAGUUUCACCUUAGCCAAAGGUUCUAAGUGCCUUUCAUGUGUGCAAGCUAAGCAACCUCGCAAGCCUCACAAGGCCGCGGAGGAGAGACACUUGGCACCAUUAGAACUCAUACAUUCAGAUCUUUGUGAGAUGAAUGGUGCGUUGACUAAAGGUGGAAAGAAAUACUUCAUGACAUUGAUAUGUGUAUCUGUUAAACACUAAAGAUGAGGCUCUACACUACUUUAAAAUCUAUAAGGCAGAAGUUGAGAAACAACUUGAAAAGAAAAUUAAAUGAGUCCGGUCAGAUCGUGGUGGAGAGUACUUCUCGAGUGAGUUUGAUUCUUUCUGUGCGGAACAUGGCAUUAUUCAUGAGAGGACGCCUCCCUAUUCACCCUAGUCAAACGGGGUUGCCGAGCGGAAAAAACGUACUCUAACUGAUUUGGUUAAUGCCAUGUUAGAUACAUCGGGUUUAUCCAAGGCAUGGUGGGGGAGGCUAUAUUGACGGCAUGUCAUUGUUGGGGAACGUUGCAGAAAACAAAAAUUUUCCUACGGUUUCACCAGGAUCCAUCUAGGAGUUCAUCUAGCAACGAGUGAUCGGAUUGCAUCUACAUACCUUUGUAGAUCACGUGCGGAAGCGUUCAAAGAACGUGGAUGAGGAAGGCGUACUCGACGUGAUCCAAAUCACCGGAGAUCCUAGCACCAAACAGACCGGCACCUCCACGUUCAACACACAUACGGUCAGCGUAACGUCUCCUCCUUCUUGAUUGAUAGAGGCGGGGUGUCCCGAUCUUUCGAUGAGAUGAUAACUAUCGAUUUGGUGGAGACGACUCUGACGAUCCGACUACAAACGUGCACGAUGUUGCGCCUUAGCAAUCGCUAAACCAACUCCGAGAGGUUAUUGACCACGCUGGAGCACGAUCAACCUGACCAUGAAGGUCUAUUCCUGCGAGCAAUCGAAGAACAAGCAAGAAUAUGAUUAAGCAAUCUGAAUAUUGCGAGUAUGGAUGAAGUAUUGAUAAAAGUGGGGUUUCAGAAGCGGUCUUGGUCUGGUCGUUGGACACAAACGAAGUACACGAAGUUGCAGCGAUGGCUAACUUUUAACUAAAUAAAACCCAAGUCUAAACGAUGCCCUAAGGGCUAUAUUUAUAGGGAAAAGAGAGGGGAUUUUGUCCCCCCUUGGCAAGGUGGGACUAAAACACCUCCUAAGUCAUUUUCCCUACAAUAUGGACUCUAAAAAUAUAUUACAUGGGCCUAACCCAAAAUAAGGUGGCGCAACACCAAUAAUAAGCUAUGGACGAAAUUAAUGAAAGGCCAUCUUGUAUAUUUCGUCCAUCAUCUUGUAUGUCAUCAUGGUGGCUUCAAAGUCCGGAAAUCUCCACUUCAACCUCUGUUCUUGUUCUCCUCGCACACACCUUCAUCUCCGUGCUUGACCAUGCUCCAAUGUUCAACCUUCUUGCCCGUGCUAGGCCCUUCAAUUGCAAGCAACACAAAUGUAUCUAAGUUAGGCAGCAUCAUAUUCUCAUGAACACUAGAAACAUUACCAAGAAACGAAAGUACCUGAUAAUUUAAUUGGCGUAUCUGAGCUCUAGCAACUGUUCCAAGAGGUAAAACAUUAGGGAAUAUGGAUGUAACUGUGGUAGCCAUGUCCUCAUCAUUGAUCCAGCAAGGGGAGAAGAGGUUGAGGAAGAUGGCUCCAGUAGCAGCACGACGGCGUGGUGGUGAUGGAGCUGCAGUACUCUGGCAGGGCUUCGCCAAGCUCUAUGGAGGAGGAGGAUGUGUUGGAGAGGGAGAGGGAGGCACCAAAGGCGUAGUCUGAGAGGCCCUUCUUCCCCCACUAUAUAUAGGGAGCCUAGGGGGGCGCCGGCCCUAGGAGAUGCAAUCUCCUAGGGGGGCGGCGGCCAAGGGAGGAAUCCCUCCUCCCCAAGGCACCUAGGAGGUGCCUUCCCCCUUUAGGACUCCUCCUUUCUUGAUCUCUUGGCGCAUGGGCCUCUUGGGGCUGGUGCCCUUGUCCCAUAUAGGCCAAGGCGCACACCCCUACAGCCCAUGUGGCCCCCCGGGGCAGGUGGCCCCACCCGGUGGACCCCCGGGACCCUUUCGGUGGUCCCGGUACAAUACCGGUGACCCCGAAACUUGUCCCAACGGCCGAAAUAGCACUUCCUAUAUAUAAUUCUUUACCUCCGAACCAUUCCGGAACUCCUCGUGACGUCCGAGAUCUCAUCUGGGACUCCGAACAACAUUCGGGUUACUGCAUAUACAUAUCCCUACAACCCUAGCGUCACCGAACCUUAAGUGUGUAGACCCUACGGGUUCGGGAGACACGUAGACAUGACCGAGACGACUCUCCGGCCAAUAACCAACAGCGGGAUCUGGAUACCCAUGUUGGCUCCCACAUGCUCCUCGAUGAUCUCAUCGGAUGAACCACGAUGUCGAGGAUUCAAUCAAUCCCGUAUACAAUUCCCUUUGUCAAUCGGUAUGUUACUUGCCCGAGAUUCGAUCGUCGGUAUCCCAAUACCUCGUUCAAUCUCGUUACUGGCAAGUCACUUUACUCGUACCGUAAUGCAUGAUCCCGUGACCAGACACUUGGUCAAUUUGAGCUCAUAAUGAUGAUGUAUUACCGAGUGGGCCCAGUGAUACCUCUCCGUCAUACGGAGUGACAAAUCCCAGUCUUGAUCCGUGUCAACCCAACAGACACUUUCGGAGAUACCCGUAGUAUACCUUUAUAGUCACCCAGUUACGUUGUGACGUUUGGUACACCCAAAGCACUCCUACGGUAUCCGGGAGUUACACGAUCUCAUGGUCUAAGGAAAAGAUACUUGACAUUGGAAAAACUCUAGCAAACGAACUAUACGAUCUUAUGCUAUGUUUAGGAUUGGGUCUUGUCCAUCACAUCAUUCUCCUAAUGAUGUGAUCUCGUUAUCAAUGACAUCUAAUGUCCAUAGUCAGGAAACCAUGACUAUCUGUUGAUCAACGAGCUAGUCAACUAGAGGCUUACCAGGGACAUGUUGGUGUCUAUUAUUCACACAUGUAUUACGAUUUCCGGAUAACACAAUUAUAGCAUAAAUAAAAGACAAUUAUCACGAACAAGGAAAUAUAAUAAUAAUCCUUUUAUUAUUGCCUCUAGGGCAUAUUUCCAACAGUCUCCCACUUGCACUAGAGUCAAUAAUCUAGUUACAUUGUGAUGAAUCGAACACCCAUGGAAUUCUGGUGUUGAUCAUGUUUUGCUCUAGGGAGACGUUUAGUCAACGGAUCUGCUACAUUCAGGUCCGUAUGUACUUUACAAAUAUCUAUGUCUCCAUCUUGAACAUUUUCACGAAUGGAGUUGAAGCGACGCUUGAUGUGCCUGGUCUUCUUGUGAAACCUGGGCUCCUUGGCAAGUGCAAUAGCUCCAGUGUUGUCACAGAAGAGUUUGAUUGACCCCGACGCAUUGGGUAUGACUCCUAGGUCGGUGAUGAACUCCUUCACCCAAAUUGCUUCAUGCGCUGCCUCCGAGGCUGCCAUGUACUCCGCUUCACAUGUAGAUCCCGCCACGAUGCUCUGCUUGCAACUGCACCAGCUUACUACCCCACCAUUCAAAAUAUACACGUAUCUGGUUUGUGACUUAGAGUCAUCCAGAUCUGUGUCGAAGCUAGCGUCGACGUAACCUUUUACGACGAGCUCUUCGUCACCUCCAUAAACGAGAAGCAUUUCCUUAGUCCUUUUCAGGUACUUCAGGAUAUUCUUGACCGCUGUCCAGUGUUCCUUGCCGGGAUUACUUUGGUACCUUCCUACCAAACUCACGGCAAGGUUUACAUCAGGUCUGGUACACAACAUGGCAUACAUAAUAGAACCUAUGGCUGAGGCAUAGGGGAUGACACUCAUCUCUUCUAUAUCUUCUGUCGUGGUCGGACAUUGAGCUGAGCUCAAUUUCACACCUUGUAACACAGGUAAGAACCCCUUCUUAGACUGAUCCAUAUUGAACUUCUUCAAUAUCUUAUCAAGGUAUGUGCUUUGUGAAAGACCUAUGAGGCAUCUUGAUCUAUCUCUAUAGAUCUUGAUGCCUAAUAUAUAUGUAGCUUCUCCAAGGUCCUUCAUUGAAAAACUCUUAUUCAAGUAGGCCUUAAUGCUGUCCAAGAGUUCUAUAUCAUUUCCCAUCAAAAGUAUGUCAUCUACAUAUAAUAUGAGAAAUGCUACAGAGCUCCCACUCACUUUCUUGUAAACGCAGGCUUCUCCAUAAGUCUGUGUAAACCCAAAUGCUUUGAUCAUCUCAUCAAAGCGAAUGUUCCAACUCCGAGAUGCUUGCACCAGCCCAUAAAUCGAGCGUUGGAGCUUGCACACCUUGUUAGCAUUCUUAGGAUCGACAAAACCUUCCAGCUGCAUCAUAUACAAUUCUUCCUUAAGGAAACCAUUAAGGAAUGUCGUUUUGACGUCCAUUUGCCAUAUCUCAUAAUCGUAGAAUGCGGCAAUCGCUAACAUGAUUCGGACGGACUUUAGCUUCGCUACCGAUGAGAAAGUCUCAUCGUAGUCAACCCCUUGAACUUGUCGAUAACCCUUAGCGACAAGCCGAGCUUUAUAGAUGGUCACAUUACCAUCCGCGUCCGUCUUCUUCUUAAAGAUCCAUUUAUUUUCUAUGGCUCGCCGCUCAACAGGUAAGUCAGUCAAAGUCCAUACUUCGUUUUCAUACAUGGAUCCUAUCUCGGAUUUCAUGGCUUCUAGCCAUUUGUCGGAAUCCGGGCCCGCCAUCGCUUCUUCAUAGUUCGAAGGUUCACCGUUGUCUAACAACAUGAUUUCCAAGACAGGGUUGCCGUACCAAUCUGGUGCGGAACGUGUCCUUGUGGACCUUCGAAUUUCAGUAGCAACUUGAUCUAAAGUUUCAUGAUCAUCAUCAUUAACUUCCUCUCUAGUCGGUGCAGGCACCUCAGGAACAUUUUCUUGAGUUGCGCCAUUUUCUGGUUCAAGAGGUAAUACUUCAUCAAGUUCUACUUUCCUCCCACUUACUUCUUUCGAGAGAAACUCUUUCUCCAGAAAGGAUCCAUUCUUGGAAACAAAGAUCUUGCCUUCGGAUCUGAGGUAGAAGGUAUACCCAAUAGUUUGUUUAGGGUAUCCUAUGAAGACGCAUUUUUCCGACUUGGGUUCGAGCUUUUCAGGUUGAAGUUUCUUGACAUAAGCAUCGCAUCCCCAAACUUUUAGAAACGACAGCUUAGGUUUCUUUCCAAACCAUAAUUCAUACGGUGUCGUCUCAACGGAUUUCGAUGGAGCCCUAUUUAAAGUGAAUGCGGCAGUCUCUAAAGCAUAGCCCCAAAAAGAUAGCGGUAAAUCGGUAAGAGACAUCAUAGAUCGCACCAUAUCUAAUAGAGUGCGAUUACGAUGUUCGGACACACCAUUACGCUGAGGUGUUCCAGGUGGCGUGAGUUGUGAAACUAUUCCACAUUUUCUUAAGUGUGUGCCAAACUCGUGACUCAAGUAUUCUCCUCCAUGAUCUGAUCGCAGGAACUUGAUUUUCCUGUCACGUUGAUUUUCAACCUCACUCUGAAAUUCUUUGAACUUUUCAAAGGUCUCAGACUUGUGUUUCAUUAAGUAUACAUACCCAUAUCUACUCAAGUCAUCCGUGAGGGUGAGAACAUAACGAUAGCCACCGCGAGCCUCAACACUCAUUGGACCGCACACAUCAGUAUGUAUGAUUUCCAAUAAGUUGGUUGCUCGCUCCAUUGUUCCUGAGAACGGAGUCUUGGUUAUUUUACCCAUGAGGCAUGGUUCGCACGUGCCAAAUGAUUCAUAAUCAAGAGACUCUAAAAGUCCAUCAGCAUGGAUCUUCUUCAUGCGUUUGACACCUAUGUGACCAAGGCGGCAGUGCCACAAGUAUGUGGGACUAUCAUUAUCAAUCUUACAUCUUUUGGUACUAACACUAUGAAUAUGUGUAGCAUUACGCUCGAGAUUCAUUAAGAAUAAACCAUUCACCAUCGGAGCAUGACCAUAAAACAUAUCUCUCAUAUAAAUAGAACAACCAUUAUUCUCGGAUUUAAAUGAGUAGCCAUCUCGAAUUAAACGAGAUCCUGGUACAAUGUUCAUGCUCAAAGCUGGCACUAAAUAACAAUUAUUAAGGUUUAAAACUAAUCCCGAAGGUAAAUGUAGAGGUAGCGUGCCGACGGCGAUCACAUUGACCUUGGAACCAUUCCCGACGCGCAUCGUCACCUCGUCCUUCGCCAGUCUCCGCUUAUUCCGCAGCUCCUGUUUUGAGUUACAAAUGUGAGCAACCGCACUGGUAUCAAAUACCCAGGAGCUACGACGAAUACUGGUAAGGUACACAUCAAUUACAUGUAUAUCACAUAUACCUUUCGUUUUGCCGGCCUUCUUGUCCGCUAAGUAUUUGGGGCAGUUCCGCUUCCAGUGACCACUUCCCUUGCAAUAAAAGCACUCAGUCUCAGGCCUGGGUCCAUUCUUUGGCUUCUUCCCGGCAGCUUGCUUACCGGGCGCGGCAACUCCCUUGCCGUCCUUCUUGAAGUUCUUCUUACCCUUGCCUUUCUUGAACUUAGUGGUUUUAUUCACCAUCAACACUUGAUGUUCCUUUUUGACUUCUACCUCUGCUGAUUUCAGCAUUGCAAAUACCUCAGGAAUGGUCUUUUCCAUCCCCUGCAUAUUGAAGUUCAUCACAAAGCUCUUGUAGCUUGGUGGAAGCGACUGGAGGAUUCUGUCAAUGACCGCGUCAUCCGGGAGAUUAACUCCCAGCUGAGUCAGUCGGUUAUGUAACCCAGACAUUGUGAGUAUGUGCUCACUGACAGAACUAUUUUCCUCCAUCUUACAGCUGAAGAACUUGUCGGAGACUUCAUAUCUCUCGACCCGGGCAUGAGCUUGGAAAACCAUUUUCAGCUCUUCGAACAUCUCAUAUGCUCCAUGUCUCUCAAAACAUUUUUGGAGCCCCGGUUCUAAGCUGUAAAGCAUGCCGCACUGAACGAGGGAGUAAUCAUCAGCACGUGUCUGCCAAGCGUUCAUAACGUCUUGGUUCUGUGGGACGGGUGCGUCACCUAGCGGUGCUUGUAGGACAUAAUCUUUCUUGGCAGCUAUGAGGAUGAUCCUCAGGUUCCGGACCUAGUCCGUGUAGUUGUUGCCAUCGUCUUUCAGCUUGGUUUUCUCUAGGAACGCGUUGAAGUUGAGGACUAUGUUGGCCAUUUGAUCUACAAGACAUAUUGUAAAUAUUUUAGACUAAGUUCAUGAUAAUUAAGUUCAUCUAAUCAAAUUAUUUAAUGAACUCCCACUUAGAUAGACAUCCCUCCAGUAAUCUAAGUAUAACAUGAUCCGAGUUAACUAGGCCGUGUCCGAUCAUCACGUGAGACGGACUAGUCAACAUCGGUGAACAUCUUCAUGUUGAUCGUAUCUUCUAUACGACUCAUGCUCGACCUUUCAGUCUUCUGUGUUCCGAGGCCAUGUCUGUAUAUGUUAGGCUCGUCAAGUCAUCCUAAGUGUUUGCAUGUGUAAAUCUGUCUUACACCCGUUGUAUGUGAACGUUGGAAUCUAACACCCGAUCAUCACGUGGUGCUUCGAAACAACGAACUGUCGCAAUGGUGCACAGUUAGGGGGAACACUUUCUUGAAAUUAUUAUGAGGGAUCAUCUUAUUUACUACCGUCGUUCUAAGUAAACAAGAUGCAGAAACAUGAUAAACAUCACAUGCAAUCAAAUAAUAAAAGUGACAUGAUAUGGCCAAUAUCACAUAGCUCCUUUGAUCUCCAUCUUGGGGCUCCAUGAUCAUCUUGUCACCGGCAUGACACCAUGAUCUCCAUCAUCGUGUCUCCAUGAAGUUGCUCGCCAACUAUUACUUCUACUACUACGGCUAAUGCGUUUAGCAAUAAAGUAAAGUAAUUUACAUGGCGUUUCUCAAUGACACGCAGGUCAUACAAAAAAUAAAGACAACUCCUAUGGCUCCUGCCGGUUGUCGUACUCAUCGACAUGCAAGGCGUGAUUCCUAUUACAAUAGCAUGAACAUCUCAUACAUCACAUAUAUAUCAUUCAUCAUUCAUCACAACUUUGGCCAUAUCACAUCACAAAACACUUGCUGCAAAAACAAGUUAGACGUCCUCUAAUUGUUGUUGCAAGUUUUACGUGGCUGCAAUAGGGUUCUAGCAAGAACGUUUUCUUACCUAUGUGAAAACUACAACGUGAUUUGUCAACUUCUAUUUACCCUUCAUAAGGACCCUUUUCAUUGAAUCCGCUCCAACUAAAGUGGGAGAGACAGACACCCGCCAGCCACCUUAUGCAACCUGUGCAUGUUAGUUGGUGGAACCGGUCUCACGUAAGCGUACAUGUAUGGUUGGUCCGGGCCGCUUCAUCCCACAAUACCGCUGAAGCAAGAUAAGACUAGUAGCGGCAAGAAAGUUGACAACAUCUACGCCCACAACAAAUUGUGUUCUACUCGUGCAAAGAGAACUACGUCUAGACCUAGCUCAUGAUGCCACUGUUGGGGAACGUUGCAGAAAACAAAAAUUUUCCUACGGUUUCACCAGGAUCCAUCUAGGAGUUCAUCUAGCAACGAGUGAUCGGAUUGCAUCUACAUACCUUUGUAGAUCAUGCGCGGAAGCAUUCAAAGAACGGGGAUGAGGAAGGCGUACUCGACGUGAUCCAAAUCACCGGAGAUCCUAGCGCCGAACGGACGGCACCUCCGCGUUCAACACACGUACGGUCAGCAUAACGUUUCCUCCUUCUUGAUCCAGCAAGGGGGAGAAGAGGUUGAGGAAGAUGGCUCCAGCAGCAGCACGACGGCGUGGUGGUGAUGGAGCUGCAGUACUCCGGCAGGGCUUCGCCAAGCUCUAUGGAGGAGGAGGAUGUGUUGGAGAGGGAGAGGGAGGCACCAAAGGCGUGGUCUGAGAGGCCCUCCUUCCCCCACUAUAUAUAGGGAGCCUAGGGGGGGGCCGGCCCUAGGAGAUGCAAUCUCCUAGGGGGCGCCGGCCAAGGGAGGAAUCCCUCCUCCCCAAGGCACCUAGGAGGUGCCUUCCCCCUUUAGGACUCUUCCUUUCUUGAUCUCUUGGCGCAUGGGCCUCUUGGGGCUGGUGCUCUUGCCCCAUAUAGGCCAAGGCGCACACCCCUACAGCCCAUGUGCCCCCCGGGGCAGGUGGCCCCACCCGGUGGACCCCCGGGACCCUUCCGGUGGUCCCGGUACAAUACCGGUGACCCCGAAACUUGUCCCGACGGCCGAAAUAGCACUUCCUAUAUAUAAUUCUUUACCUCCGGACCAUUCCGGAACUCCUCAUGACGUCCGGGAUCUCAUCCGGGACUCCGAACAACAUUCGGGUUACUGCAUAUACAUAUCCCUACAACCCUAGCGUCACCGAACCUUAAGUGUGUAGACCCUACGGGUUCGGGAGACACGUAGACAUGACCGAGACGACUCUCCGGCCAAUAACCAACAGCGGGAUCUGGAUACCCAUGUUGGCUCCGACAUGCUCCUCGAUGAUCUCAUCGGAUGAACCACGAUGUCGAGGAUUCAAUCAAUCCCGUAUACAAUUCCCUUUGUCAAUCGGUAUGUUACUUGCCCGAGAUUCGAUCGUCGGUAUCCCAAUACCUCGUUCAAUCUCGUUACCGGCAAGUCACUUUACUUGUACCGUAAUGCAUGAUCCCGUGACCAGACACUUGGUCACUUUGAGCUCAUAAUGACGAUGUAUUACCGAGUGGGCCCAGUGAUACCUCUCCGUCAUACGGAGUGACAAAUCCCAGUCUUGAUCCGUGUCAACCCAACAGACACUUUUGGAGAUACCCGUAGUAUACCUUUAUAGUCACCCAGUUACGUUGUGACGUUUGGUACACCCAAAGCACUCCUACGGUAUCCGGGAGUUACAUGAUCUCAUGGUCUAAGGAAAAGAUACUUGACAUUGGAAAAACUCUAGCAAACGAACUAUACGAUCUUAUGCUAUGUUUAGGAUUGGGUCUUGUCCAUCACAUCAUUCUCCUAAUGAUGUGAUCUCGUUAUCAAUGACAUCUAAUGUCCAUAGUCAGGAAACCAUGACUAUCUGUUGAUCAACGAGCUAGUCAACUAGAGGCUUACCAGGGACAUGUUGGUGUCUAUUAUUCACACAUGUAUUACGAUUUCCGGAUAACACAAUUAUAGCAUAAAUAAAAGACAAUUAUCACGAACAAGGAAAUAUAAUAAUAAUCCUUUUAUUAUUGCCUCUAGGGCAUAUUUCCAACAGUCAUGUCCUAAAUUAAGUUCCGACAAAGGAUAAUGAGAUCACUCCCUAUGAGAAAUGGGCAAAGAGAAGGAAAACACUCUCGUACUUGCGUACUUGGGGCUGUUUGGCGAAAGUCAAUGUGCUGAUCCCCAAAAAGCGUAAGCUUGGACCAAAGACUGUGGACUGCGUUAAUUUGGGUUACACUAAGAAUAGCGUUGGCUAUAGAUUUCUAGUAGUGAAAUCUGAGGUACCUGACCAGAAGGUCGGUACAAUUAUAGAGUCUAAGGAUGCUACAUUCUUCGAGGAUAUUUUUCCUAUGAGAGAUAUGCAAAGCACUUCUAGACAGGAAUCUGAGGAGACUCCUGAACCUGCCAUCCCUAUGGAAUAUUAUGAACAAACACAUUAUGAAAAUCCUGAGGAGGAUGACGAGGAAACCCUUGGUAGGGGCAAGAGACAAUGGACUGCAAAGACCUUUGGUGAUGAUUUCUUCGUGUACCUCGUGGAUGAUACUCCCACUUCUAUUUCAGAAGCGUAUGCCUCUCCAGAAGCUGACUACUGGAAGGAUGCGGUCCGUAGCGAGAUGGAUUCCAUCAUGGCUAACGAGACAUGGGAGAUCACUGAUCGUCCCUAUGGUUGCAAACCACUGGGGUGUAAGUGGGUGUUCAAAAAGAAGCUUAGGCCCGAUGGUACUAUUGAAAAGUACAAGGCUAGGCUUGUGGCCAAGGGCUAUGACCAGCAAGAAGAGGAAGAUUUCUUCGAUACUUAUUCACCUGUGGGUAGACUGACCACCAUUCGAGUAUUACUCUCGUUGGCGGCCUCGCACGGUCUUCUCGUCCAUCAGAUGGAUGUUAAGACGGCUUUUCUAAAUGGAGAGCUAAAGGAGGAAAUCUACAUGCAACAGCCUGAUGGCUUUGUGAUAGAUGGUCAGGAAAGAAAGGUGUGUGGUUGAUAAAAUCUUUAUAUGGCCUGAAACAAGCACCUAAGCAAUGGCAUGAUAAGUUUAAUACAACUCUGACAUCUGUUGGUUUCGUUGUUAAUGAGGCUGACAAAUGUGUAUACUAUCGCCAUGGUGGGGGCGAAGGAGUUAUACUGUGCUUGUAUGUUGAUGACAUACUGAUAUUCGGAACAAACCUCAAAGUCAUUGAGGAGGUCAAAUCAUUUCUAUCUCAGAACUUUGAGAUGAAAGACCUUGGUGUGGCUGAUCUUAUCUUGAACAUCAAGCUACUAAGAGAUAAUGAGGGUGGAAUUACACUUCUGCAAUCCCACUAUGUUGAGAAGGUGUUGAGUCGUUUUGGAUAUUCGGACUGCACGCCAUCUCAAACACCAUAUGAUCCUAGCGUGUCGAUUCAAAAGUCCAAAGGCAUGGCUAAAGAUCAAUUGAGAUACUCUCAAAUCAUUGGUUCACUGAUGUCCCUAGCGAGGGCAACGAGGCCUGACAUCGCGUUUGCUGUGAGCAAACUGAGCCGGUUUGUUUCCAAACCGGGUGAUGUACAUUGGCAUGCUGUUGAGAGAGUUAUGCGCUAUUUGAAAGGUACUAUGAACUAUGAACUUCACUAUACCGGAUACCCGUUGGUACUUGAAGGGUAUAGUGAUGCGAAUUGGACCUCUGAUGCUGAUGAGAUGAAGGCCACAACUGGGUAUAUGUUUACUCUUGGAGGUGGCACUGUUUCCUAGAAGUCUUGCAAGCAAACGAUCUUAACGAGAUCGACAAUGGAAGCAGAAUUAACAGCAUUAGACACAUCUGGUGUUGAAGCGAGAUGGCUUCGAGAUCUUUUGAUGGACUUGCCAUUGGUUGAUAAACCGGUUCCAGCUAUCCUUAUGAACUGUGACAAUCAGACUGUCAUCACCAAGGUGAAGAGUUCAAAGGACAACAUGAACUCCACCAAACACAUAAGAAUGAGAUUAAAAGCUGUCAGAAAAUUAAGAAACUCCGGAGUGAUAGCGUUGGACUAUGUCCAUACGGCUAAGAAUCUGGCAGAUCCCUUUACGAAAGGGCUAUCACGUGUUGUGAUAGAUAAUGCAUCGAGGGAGAUGGGUAUGAGACCCACAUGAGUUUCCAUGGUAGUAACCCAACCUAUGUGAUCGGAGAUCCUGUGAAUUAGGACCUGGGAAAACAAGCCAGAGGUGAACUGAGGAGAGUAACUAUACUAACCCACUCCGUUGGAGAUGCAAUACUCUUGAUAUUGUAUGAUAGGAUGACUAUUGUCUUAAUGUGUUCCAAAGCUUAUGUAAGCAAGAUGCUAUCCUACAGAGCGAUCUUUGGAGGAACACACCUAUGUGAGCCCGACUGUUGGUCAUAGUCUAUGAGAUUGGGGUGAUCUCUAGUAAGCUCAUGAAUAGGCCAGGAGUGUGACUUAUAUGCUCCACCCGAGGGGCCAGCCUUCGGCAGCCUAGUACUAGUAAGACAUGUAGUGAAACUUCUUUAUGCCAAACUGACAAUUCAAGGCAUAGUCCAUUGUUCAGUUGUGAAGGAGUGUAGCUACUUGCUCUAGGUGAAGUUCAACCUUAACAGGUCUUCACUGACACACUGGUAUAUCGAAACAGCAAUUGGAACAGAGCACACAAUGGGCCCUCGAGAUUUGGUGGGGGAUUGCUGAAAUUUGAGAUGGGCUCUAGGCCCAUAUAGCAAUUUCUAAAAAAUCUCUAAGGGCCCAUGUGGGUUAUAUGGCACUAGGUGUAGUGGAAAGUUUAGUCCCACCCCGCUAGUGGAAGGAGAGUUAGAGUGGUAUAUAAGGGUUUCUCUUCUACAUGAUAUUGGAGCUUGAGAAGAGAAGAGGCCCUCGCGCACUCCUCCUCCGCCGCCCGCCUCGCCAUGCCACGCCUCGUCACGACGCGCCGCGGGUUGCGGGAUUGAGCCGAGCCGAGCUCACACCUACGCACUUAUUUUUGCCAGUCACUAACGGAGAGUUCUCUGACAGCUGGGCCACGAUCUGAUACAUCGGAUCGUGGGCUGUCACGGACUCGGACGUGGGUCGAGCCCACGUCUCUCCACGCGGCUGCGUCUAUAUAAGUGUGCGGUGUCUCCUAACCCUAGCCGCCACGAACAGAUCACAUCUGCUCCAUGCACACGCCCACCAUCAUUCCCUUGCUGCUGCUGCCGCCGGUGACUCCAUCCCGUCCGCCGCAUACACGGUCGACGGGAGAGCAGGUCUCCGAAACCACGCCCUUCUGGUUCCUGUACGGGGUGAGGGGAGAUAGGUUUUUGGGCAGCGAUUACGUGACUGCUCGCUUCCGAUCGUGUAACGCCCUCAAUGCGGCUAUAUCUCCCACGUGUCGAAGCACGACUUAGAGGCAUAACCGCAUUGAAAGCAAUGUCGCAAGUGAGGUAAUCUUCGCAAACAACCCAUGUAAUACAAUAAGGGAAAAGAUACAUAGUUGGCUUACAAUCGCCACUUCACACAAUUACAUGAAUAAAGCAUUACAACAUCCAAAUACAAUCAAGGUCCGACUACGGAACCAAAAUAAAAGAAGAACCCCAAAAGCGACAAGGUCCCCCGAUCGACCCCAACUGGGCUCCACUACUGAUCAACUAGAACGAAACAACACAAAGGACAAGAUCUUCAUCGAGCUCCUCCUUGAGCUUGGUUGCGUCAUCUGCACGGACUCAUCGGCACCUGCAAGCUGGUUUUGGAAGUAUCUGUGAGUCACGGGGACUCAGCAAUUUCACCCCCUCGCGAUCAAGACUAUUUAAGCUUAUAGGAAGGGUAAAAGGUAUGAGGUGGAGCUGCAGCAAGCGACUAGCAUAUAUGGAGGCUAACAUACGCAAAUGAGAGCGAGAAGAGAAGGCAAAGCACGUUUCGAGAAAGUAUGAUCAAGAAGUGAUCCAAAUCUACUUACGUCAAGCAUAACUCCAACACCGUGUUCACUUCCCGCACACCGCCGGAAAGAGACCAUCACGGUUAAACACGUGGUUGAUGUAUUUUAAUUAAGGUCAACUUCAGGUUUUCUACAACCGGACAUUAACAAAAUCCCAUCUGCCCAUAACCGCGGGCACGGCUUUCGAAAGUUCAAAUCCCUGCAGGGGUGUCCCAACUUAGCCCAUCACAAGCUCUCAUGGUCAAUGAAGGAUAUUCCUUCUAGCGGGAAGACCCGAUCAGGCUCGGAAUCCCGGUUACAAGACAUUUCGACAGGUAAAACAAGACCAGCAAGACCGCCCGAUGCGCCGACAUCCUGAUAGGAGCUGCACAUAUCUCGUUCUCAGGGCAACACCGGAUGAGCGCUCCGUACAACUAAAACCAUCCCUCAAGUUUCCCCGAGGUGGCGCUGCAACGGACUCUAGUUCGGACCAACACUUAUACAAGCACUGGCCCGGGGGGGUUAAAAUAAAGAUGACCCUCGGGAUGGGCGACUCCCAAGGGAAAAAGGCUAGGUGGCGAAUGGUAAAACCAAGGUUGGGCCUUGCUGGAGGAGUUUUAUUCAAGACGAACUGUCAAGGGGUUCCCGUUAUAACCCAACCGCGUAAGGAACGCAAAAUCCGGGAACAUAACACCGAUAUGACGGAAACUAGGGUGGCAAGAGUGGAACAAAACACCAGGCAUAAGGCCGAGCCUUCCACCCUUUACCAAGUAUAUAGAUGCAUUAAUUAAAUAAAAGAUAUUGUGAUAUCCCAACAAGUAAACAUGUUCCAACAAGGAACAACAUCUCCAUGUUCCAACAAGGAACAAACUUCAAUCUUCACCUGCAACUAACAACGCUAUAAGAGGGGCUGAGCAAAGCAGUAACAUAGCCAAACAACGGUUUUCUAGGACAAGGUGGGUUAGAGGCUUGGUUCAACAAUAUGGGUGGCAUGAUAAGCAAGUGGUAGGUAUCGCAGCAUCGGCAUAGCAAAAGAGCGAGCAACUAGCAAGCAAAGAUAGAAGUGAUUUCGAGGGUAUGGUCAUCUUGCCUGAGACCCCGCAAGGAAGAACAACGAGUCCAUGAAGAAGACAAACGGACGUAGCCAACGGAUCCUCACAAACGCAACGUUACCGGAACCAACCCAAAGAAGCAACACCGGAAAAGAGCAAACAACCUAGUAAACAACCACCACAUAAACAUGGCAUGAUGCACAACCAAGUAUGAUGCAUGUCCGGUUUGAAGAGGGCAUGGCAUGGCCAAGUGCACAAACAAUCCUACAAAUUAAGUGGAGAUCAUUAUGCAACGGAGUUGCAUAUUGAAGAAAACACCACAUGACUUAUUUAGUUCUCUCUCGUUUAUGUACCCAACAAGAUUAAAUGUUGUUAGCAUGGCAAGAGGGUGAAGCAAAUGAAAACUACCUAUCUAAUCAAGUUUAAAUGAGGCCGGGAACAACAAAACAACAAGUCCAAAAACUCCUCAUGUGCAUAUUUUGGUUAUGGUACUGCUCUGCCCUAAACACAAUUUUAGAGUUGUUAAACAUGCAAGAUGAGUGCACCAAGUAAAUCUAGGCAUUUUUCUACCCCAUUUACAUAUAAAGAUUAUUUAAUUCGGAGCUACGGUUAUUUAGUUAUGAAAUAAAGCAUUUUAGCAAGUUAUUUAAACAAACAACAUUUUAAACAUUUUAAACAUGGAUGAAAGUUGCAUAUUAUGAAACUAGAUGAAAUUCUAAGCACUUUACAUGUUGAAAACAUUUUAAUAGGAUGCAUGGUUCUGGAAUUAUUAUAUGCAUGAUGUUGAGGGUUUUUCUGUAAAACUGCAAACUCUGGAUAAAUAGCUAAAUUCGCAGAUCUGGGAAAAAACAGGAUACGGGCCAAAACUGGCUGGGCCACAACAGAGCAGAGGGCUGUGGGGAGCUCACCCAUGGGCUGACGCCCAGUCGGUGAAGCAGCAGGCCAGCGGGGAGCUGGACUUGGUGCGGCGCUGGGACUUGGAGGCCGGCCACGCUGGCGCUGGACCAAGUCAAUGAGGGGCGGGCCUCGUUCGUGAAGCAGGGGCGACGGCUGCGGUCAACGCAAAGCAUGGGCGAGCGGGCGCCUCGUCCUCUGCUCGCGCAGGAGCGAAGAAGGGAGGUGGCACGGUGAGGGACUUGGCGAGGAGGGUUCCGCGCGGGAACGGCGGAGUCAACGAGCUCCGGCGAGCGGGACUUGGCGCUGGGGUCGUGCUCCUCGCGUGCGAUGACGAAGCAGAAGGGGAUGACGGGGAAGCGGUCUUGGCGCGCCAGAAGGAGGCCGAGCGUGGUUCGCCUGGGUGCAGAGGAGCACAGGUGGAGGCCAUGGUCUCCCAGCGACCUAGGAAGAAGCGGGGCAUGGAUGUCUCGUCUCUUCUUGGACGAAGCAGAGGUGCGGCACGGCGGGGCUUGAGUGCCUGAUGCGGCGGUGGCAGAUCCGGGCGCGCGGAGGUACAGGAAAGGUGAGGUCGAUUUGAUCCGGAGCUGCGGUCAACGAAGAGCACGGGAUCAAGGGGAUCCUUCCCUCUAGCUGAUGUAGGCACGGAGGACGAGGAGGGCCAGCGCAAAACUUCUCGGGGCUCCCUGUUGCAUGACAGAGAGAGCAGGUGAGAGAGGGAGGAGAGAAGGACGAGGAAGGAAGAGGCAGGGGAGCAGGGUCCUGCUAUAGGUGGUCGCCGGCGACGGGAGGUCCUCGCCUGAGGACGGCGGGGCUGCUGCUUGCUCUGGGUGAGCGGCUGGAUGUGGGCAUGUGGCUGGAGGCGACGUUGGAUGCCUGUGCCUGGGGUUCGGGCAGAGAGGUACGGUGGGUGGUGCAUCGAUGGGUGGAUCAGGAAGGCAGGGGAGUAUCGUAAUUGGAGUGAUGGGGAAAACAAGGUGGAUUGGAAGGUGGCGGCGGCCGAGAGGGAUCGAUGGGACAUCUCCCUAGAAGUUAGGGUUGCCCACUUAUAUAGAUUAUUGGAUUAGGUUAGGGGGGUAUUCGGACCGUCCGAUCGUAACCGGGCGGUCGAGAAAAAUAGAAUAAGAAGUCCAAUUAAGAAAACGGAGACGUUUUGUAGAUGUUUGGGGAUGUUCCGGACCCAACGGUGACGAUUGCCCGGUUCGGGUCCGGGACAGCUCUCGGACGCGCGCGCGAGGAGGGCUGCGGGCUGACAGAGAGCUUAGGCAAGGCCUGGCGGUAGGUAGUGGACUGUGUAGAAGGCCUUGGGCUGAGAGAAGAGAAGAGAGAGACCCGGCGACUGUUUCUGGAGACCGAAAACGUCCGACGAAGAGACCGGCUAUACUGCCGCUAUAGUUAAUCGUUGGGGCGUCAAACAAACUCCAAAUGCGAUGAAACUUGACAGGCGGUCUAUCUACACUAUAAUAAGACCACACGUCAACUCUCAUCCCAUUCCGAGAACAUUUUCUGGGCACUUAUAAAAUACUAUUACGGACAUGCCGCGGGCGCGUGCAAGUGUGUCUGGACUCGGAACGGACAACAGAGAGAACUGGGGAACCCGGACGGAUGCAAGUUUUGAAAACAUGAUGAUGCGAUGCACAUGAUGACAUGAUGAAAUGCAACACGCAAGAAAAUGACCUGGCAACAACAGCAAAUAACUCAAAUACACUUGGCACAUCGGUCUCGGGGCGUCACAACACUCCACCACUAUGAGAGGAUCUCGUCCCGAGAUCUAGAAUGGCACCGGAGGGAAAACAGAAGAGAAAAGAGAAGAGGUAAAACUAAGUUGCUUCUUUGACAAACGAGUGAAACCAAAGAACCUUGAGAAGUUGAACAACUUGAAAGUAAAAAUGCAACGAAGUAGAACAAAGUUGAAAGCACUUCGGUAGGGAAGAGGAACAAGGAAGAACAAAUUCGUAUGGCACUCCGGUUAAAAGAGAUGUAAGACUUGAUAAGGCGAAAAGAACUUGAGAAAAAGGGCACAACACUCCGGUUAAAUGGAUAGGCAUGAAAAGAACAUGAUCUUUGAUGAAACGAGAAAAGAUGGGUUGAAGAGAGCAACAUCACAAAGCCUCCGGAACAAAAUUAAGAAUGGAAUGGAAUGAACGAAGGGAAACAAGAUCUUGAGGGAGAACUCUUACAACAAAUGCUAGAAUGGAGUUGUAGGAAAACCAACAACGAAAAGAAUAAACUUGAUAUCGUCUUAUGGAACAUAUCUCAAAUAUAUGAGGUGACAACCUGCCACUCACGGGAAAAGAAUUGGAUUAAUAAGAACAAGGAGACGAGAAAGCUAUAUCACCGGGAGGAUAAAAGAAGAACUUGGGUCAUUUAUAAGCACCAUAAUAGCAACAAACCUUAGAGAAGGCUUUAGGUGAAAUAUAACCCAAGAUAACUCCAAUGAUGAGAUUGAUGGAUUUAAAAUAUCUCAUUCAUGACAACAUGUGAAUCAUGAAACAUGAAUUCAAAUUAUUAAGAAUGACAUAAUACCACCUCCAAUGAUACGGAAGAAAGAAUUGCACUCCGGAUGCAAGAUGAAAAAUGCUUGAGCUCCUUAGAAAAGAAUCUCGAUGAACACUUCGAGAAGGAAUAUAAAUCCUUGAUGAACCAUCAUGUAGAACCUUCAUGAGAACUCCGGAAAUAAAAGAAAUGAUCAAUCGAAAUGGAGGAUGAAAAGAAUAAGGUUGAAGCCUUGCAAUGAUUUAAAUGAAUACCCGUGGUGAUGUAAUUGCGAGAGCUAGGAACUCCGGGAAAAGAAAAGAUGAAACAACUGAAAUCAAGAAUUUUGAUGAACCUCCGAAAUAAAGAAUUAAAUCACUUGGAUGAAACAAUAAUAAGAAUUACAUUAUGCUUAUCCUUCACCAAUUCAAAUUGAUGACAAGCAAUGGAUUUUGGCAUACUACUUAUUCUCGUAGAAAGGAUUAAGAUAGAUAUAGCACAAACUUGGGAAGAUCUUCAACGAACGACCGUAAGAAUUGAAACAACGAAUAAAUUGAUAUGAUAAAUGAAGGAAGAAGAAUCUUGAGCGAACCAUCGUAAGAAUUAAAAAUGAACAAAGAAAAGAUAAGGAAGACACCAGGAAGAAUUUAGUAAUUGAACGAAGAUGCUUGAGAGAAUUUAGAUACAUGAGAACAAAGAGAUCACGAGCUGAUAAGAGAAUACUUGAAUGAUGCACCGAUAUGAUUUGGAGAACGAGAGCUGAAAGCUGGAAUGAAUAAUUAUGAGAUGAUGGGCUCCGAAGAAUCAAACUGAAAAGACUCCUGAAUUGCUCCGGAUGGGUGAAAAGAAUUAUCACGAACGAAAACAAUUAUGAGAGGACGGCGUAAGGCUAGCACCAUGAAUCUUGAAGAUAAUGGAGCAAGAUUAAAGAGAAACUCUUCUUCGGUCUUCAAAAUCCGAGAAUGACGACGAGAAGCACCACCAUGAAUUAUUUAGACACUCUGGAAUGAAGACAAGAGGAGAGGUUGAGCCAAAGAUGAAAAGAAUUUGAAAGAUCUUGGAGAAAAACAUAUGACAGAUGAUGAAUCAUUCUUACGUCAAAUUUGAAAUGAAUUUAGGAUAGCUCCGAUAAAAUUAGAAGAGUCGGGUAAGAUCCUGGGAAAAGACCUGUGGGUUAGGGCCCACUCAAAAGAACAUCGUUGAAAAGAUUUAAAAGAGAGAUUGCACCGGUUGAAUUAAAUGACUUGAAUGAGAUAACAACCUUGAAAGAUCUUGAAUGAAUGUAGAGUGGAAAACACGAAUCUUCUGAGAUAUCUUUAGCACUCCGGAACAAUUGAAUAGCAAACGGGGAAUGAUUGAGAGGUACGCCGGCAAGAGAAGACAUUUAAAACAAGGAAAGGAUGUGACCAACACAGAAAACUUGAAUUGAAUCCACCGGAGAAGAAAAAGAAUGAAGAAUGAUGAACUUGAAUCUCCGUUAGAAUCUUCAUGAGAAUCACCGGAUAAGAAUAUUGAUGGAGAAGAAUGGAGAGACUUCAUAACCAAUAAGAUGGAUACUUGACUAAGAAAAUUCGAGUCCUUGACGAAACAAGGGUGGGAGGGCGGGACAAUAAAGACAACUUGGGAUGGAUGAAACAAACACCGUUGAGAAAAAACUUAGAAUUGAACUUGCGGAUGUUGAAAAAGAUCAGAUCCACUUAAAGAGAGACACGCCGGUUGAAAAGGAUUGACAUGGCAAUCUCGAGUAUCAUGAAGGAUUAGUGUUCACAUCGGAAUAUGAGAACACCACUUAGACAAGGAAUGGAAUCAACAUUCGACUUCGAAGCAACUUGAAUACCACAACUCAAAACAAAACAAAGGAUUGGCUUGCAGAAUAAGUCGGAACAAACAUAUGAUAGAGAUUUCGUCCAAAGUUUUCGUGGUGGGGCCUACAUGGGCUCGAUCGUACAACACCAUCAUGUACAAGGCAGUGCACAUGACAUACGAAGCGUCCCCGAGACGGCAUAGCCAAGGACUCUUUAAGACACAAUGAGACCACUAUAAAACCAACCGUGAAUAGGCGGACCACUAGACGUCGAACCCCAAUUUCAUAUCAUACAUCUAUCGGAAAGACAUCCUAAGAUCUACUUGAAUUCCCACUUAUAAACUCCCGAACUUUUCCGGUUAUGCAAUCACGUGUUGGGGAUACAUGGGAAGCAUAAUAUCUCACCCAAAACUAGCAAAUCCUACAUCCAGUUGUAUCCAUCCUUCAACACAUAACCAAGAAACCUUCGGAAAUCGUCUACCUCAACCUUCGAAAAGCAUCUGUUAUACGAGUUAUGGCAAUACUCCCGAACUCCUGCCCCAGUACUGGGUGGCGUCGAGGUUAUCUCACCAACAACUGCAUAAAAGAGAUUUUCGAUGUCGGCGAAACUAAACUCAGGUAUUCCAGAACUGCAACGAUAAAAUUGUGACGACAACACCUCGGAGCUCAACUCCCCGGGACACUGCCACAACCCCUAAAUGACAGGAGGCACCAAGAACAAUGUUCUCGUCACAAAACCAUCGGAAGGAUUCCAAGAUACACGCGUGAUCCUAAAAAUUUUUUUUAGUGAAAUUUGAGAAGAGAAGAGUCAAAACUCUACGUCAGGAUGCCACACCAGAGCGAUGAAGGGAAUGGGGAGUAAAAAGAAUUCCUAAACUCUCCGAUAUAUAAUUCCUAAAUGACUCAAAACAUUUUUCUAGACUCAACAACGUCAGCUAAUUCGAUCAAGCAAUGGGGGCUCCUAAGGUCGGGGAAGGCUCUGAUACCAACUUGUAACGCCCUCAAUGCGGCUAUAUCUCCCACGUGUCGAAGCACGGCUUAGAGGCAUAACCGCAUUGAAAGCAAUGUUGCAAGUGAGGUAAUCUUCGCAAACAACCCAUGUAAUACAAUAAGGGAAAAGAUACAUAGUUGGCUUACAAUCGCCACUUUACACAAUUACAUGAAUAAAGCAUUACAAUAUCCAAAUACAAUCAAGGUCCGACUACGGAACCAAAAUAAAAGAAGAACCCCAAAAGCGACAAGGUCCCCCGAUCGACCCCAACUGGGCUCCACUACUGAUCAACUAGAACGAAACAACACAAAGGACAAGAUCUUCAUCGAGCUCCUCCUUGAGCUUGGUUGUGUCAUCUGCACGGACUCAUCGGCACCUGCAAGAUGGUUUUGCAAGUAUCUGUGAGUCACGGGGACUCGGCAAUUUCACACCCUCGCGAUCAAGACUAUUUAUGCUUAUAGGAAGGGUAAAAGGUAUGAGGUGGAGCUGCAGCAAGCGACUAGCAUAUAUGGAGGCUAACAUACGCAAAUGAGAGCGAGAAGAGAAGGCAAAGCACGUUUCGAGAAAGUAUGAUCAAGAAGUGAUCCAAAUCUACUUACGUCAAGCAUAACUCCAACACCGUGUUCACUUCCCGGACACCGCUGGAAAGAAACCAUCACGGUUACACACGCGAUUGAUGUAUUUUAAUUAAGGUCAACUUCAGGUUUUCUACAACCGGACAUUAACAAAUUCCCAUCUGCCCAUAACCGCGGGCCGGCUUUCGAAAGUUCAAAUCCCUGCCGGGGUGUCCCAACUUAGCCCAUCACAAGCUCUCACGGUCAACGAAGGAUAUUCCUUCUAGCGGGAAGACCCAAUCAGGCUCGGAAUCCCGGUUACAAGACAUUUCGACAGGUAAAACAAGACCAGCAAGACCGCCCGAUGCACCGACAUCCUGAUAGGAGUUGCACAUAUCUCGUUCUCAAGGCAACACCGGAUGAUUUCUCCGUACAACUAAAACCAGCCCUCAAGUUUCCCCGAGGUGGCGCUGCAAAGGACUCUAGUUCGGACGAACACUUAGACAAGCACUGGCCCGGGGGGGUUAAAAUAAAGAUGACCCUCGGGAUGGGCGACUCCCAAGGGAAAAAGGAUAGGUGGCGAAUGGUAAAACCAAGGUUGGGCCUUGCUGGAGGAGUUUUAUUCAAGGCUAACUGUCAAGGGGUUCCCAUUAUAACCCAACCGCGUAAGGAACGCAAAAUCCGGGAACAUAACACCGAUAUGACGGAAACUAGGGCAGCAAGAGUGGAACAAAACACCAGGCAUAAGGCCGAGCCUUCCACCCUUUACCAAGAAUAUAGAUGCAUUAAUUAAAUAAAAGAUAUUAUGAUAUCCCAACAAGUAAACAUGUUCCAACAAGGAACAACAUCUCCAUGUUCCAACAAGGAACAAACUUCAAUCUUCACCUGCAACUAACAACGCUAUAAGAGGGGCUGAGCAAAGCGGUAACAUAGCCAAACAACGGUUUGCUAGGACAAGGUGGUUAUAGGCUUGGUUCAACAAUAUGGGUGGCAUGAUAAGCAAGUGGUAGGUAUCACAGCAUCGGCAUAGCAAAAGAGCGAGCAACUAGCAAGCAAAGAUAGAAGUGAUUUCGAGGGUAUGGUCAUCUUGCCUGAGAUCCCGCAAGGAAGAAGAACGAGUCCAUGAAGAAGACAAACGGACAUAGCCAACGGAUCCUCACAAACACAACGUUACCGGAACCACCCCGAAGAAGCAACACCGGAAAAGAGCAAACAACCUAGUAAACAACCACCACAUAAACAUGGCAUGAUGCACAACCAAGUAUGAUGCAUGUCUGGUUUAAAGAGGGCAUGGCAUGGCAAAGUGCACAAACAAUCCUACAAAUUAAGUGGAGCUCAUUAUGCAAUGGAGUUGCAUAUUGAAGAAAACACCACAUGACUUAUUUAGUUCUCUCUCGUUUAUGUACCCAACAAGAUUAAAUGUUGUUAGCAUGGCAAGAGGGUGAAGCAAAUGAAAACUACCUAUCUAGUCAAGUUUAAAUGAGGCCGGGAACAACAAAACAACAAGUCUGAAAACUCCUCAUGUGCAUAUUUUGGUUAUGGUACUGCUCUUCCCUAAACACAAUUUUAGAGUUGUUAAACAUGCAAGAUGAGUGCACCAAGUAAAUCUAGGCAUUUUUCUACCCCAUUUACAUAUAAAGAUUAUUUAAUUCGGAGCUACGGUUAAUUAGUUAUGAAAUAAAGCAUUUUAGCAAGUUAUUUAAACAAACAGCAUUUUAAACAUUUUAAACAUGGAUGAAAGUUGCAUAUUAUGAAAUUAGAUGAAAUUCUAAGCACUUUACAUGUUGAAAACAUUUUAAUAGGAUGCAUGGUUCUGGAAUUAUUAUAUGCAUGAUGUUGAGGGUUUUUCUGUAAAACUGCAAACUCUGGAUAAAUAGCUAAAUUCGCAAAUCUAGGAAAAAUAUGAUACGGGCCAAAACUGGCUGGGCCACAAUAGAGCAGAGGGCUGUGGGGAGCUCACCCAUGGGCUGAGGCCCAGUCGGUGAAGCAGCAGGCCAGCGGGGAGCUGGACUUGGCGCGGCGCUAGGACUUGGAGGCUGGCCACACUGGCGCUGGACCAAGUCAACGAGGGGUGGGCCUCGUUCGUGAAGCAGGGGCGACGGCUACGGUCAACACGAAGCGCGGGCGAGCGGGCGCCUCGUCCUCUGCUCGCGCAGGAGCGAAGCAGGGAGGUGGUGCGGUGAGGGACUUUGCAAGGAGGGUUCCGCGCGGGAACGGCGGAGUCAACGAGCUCCAGCGAGCGGGACUUGGCGCUGGGGUCGUGCUCCUCGAGUGCGAUGACGAAGCAGAAGGGGACGACGGGGAAGCGGUCUUGGCACGGCAGAAGGAGGCCGAGUGCGGUUCGCCUAGGUGCAGAGGAGCGCGGGUGGAGGCCAUGGUCUCCCAGCGACCUAGGAAGAAGCGGGGCGUGGAUGUCUCGUCUCUUCUUGGACGAAGCAGAGGUGCGGCACGGUGGGGCUUGAGCGCCUGAUGCGGCGGUGGCAGAUCUGGGCGCGCUGAGGUACAGGAAAGGUGAGGUCGAUCUCAUCCGGAGCUGCGGUCAACAAAGAGCACGGGAUCAAGGGGAUCCUACCCUCGAGCUGAUGUAGGCGCGGAGGACGAGGAUGGCCGGCACAAAACUCCUCGGGGCUCCCUGUUGCACGACAGAGAGAGCAGGUGGGAGAGGGAGGAGAGAAGGACGAGGAAGGAAGAGGCAGGGGCGCAGGGUCCUGCUAUAGGUGGUCGCCGGCGACGGGAGGUCCUCGCCUAAGGACGGUGGGGCUGCUGCUUGCUCUGGAUGAGCGGCUGGAUGUGGGCAUGUGGCUGGAGGCGACAUUGGAUGUCUGUGCCUGGGGUUCGGGCAGAGACUUACGGUGGGUGGUGGAUCAAUGGGUGGAUUGGGAAGGUAGGGGAGUAUCCUGAUUGGAGCGAUGGGGAAAACGAGGUGGAUUGGAAGGUGGCGGCGGCCGAGAGGGAUCGAUGGGACAUCUCCCUAGAAGUUAGGGUUGCCCACUUAUAUAGAUUAUUGGAUUAGGUUAGGGGGGUAUUCGUUCCGUCCAAUCGUAAUCGGGCGGUCGAGAAAAAUAGACUAAGAAUUCCAAUUAACAAAACGGAGACGUUUUGUAGAUGUUUGGGGAUGUUCCGGACCCAACGGUGACGACUGCCCGGUUCGGGUCCGGGACAGCUCUCGGACGCGCGCGUGAGGAGGGCUGCGGGCUGACGAGAGAGGUUAGGCAAGGCCUGUCGGUAGGUAGUGGACUGUGCAGAAGGCCUUGGGCUGAGAGAAGAGAAGAGAGAGACCCGGCGACUGUUUGCGGAGACCGAAAACGUCCGACGAAGAGACCGGCUAUACUGCCGCUAUAGUUAAUCGUUGGGGCGUCAAACGAACUCCAAAUGCGAUGAAACUUGACAGGCGGUCUAUCUACACUAUAAUAAGACCACACGUCAACUCUCAUCCCAUUCGAGAACAUUUUCCGGCCACUUAUAAAAUACUAUUAAGGACAUGCCGCGGGCGUGUGCAAGUGUGUCUGGACUCGGAACGGACAACAGAGAGAACUGGGGAACCCGGAUGGAUGCAAGCUUUGAAAACAUGAUGAUGCGAUGCACAUGAUGACAUGAUGAAAUGCAACACGCAAGCAAAUGACCUGGUAACAACAGCGAAUAACUCGAAGACACCUGGCACAUCGGUCUCGGGGCGUCACAGAUCGUCUACUUCCUCUACGUCUGCGUCGCCUUCAUCAUCACCAUGUCCACCGACGCCGAACGUGCCACCGCCGAGAAAGCUGAAGCCGACAAGAAGGCCGUCGAGGACGCCGAUGCCGCCACCAAAGCCGCGGCCUCUGCAUGGCCUACUGGAGGGUAUAACUCGUUUAUUCCUCUCCUACUAUUUCCUGUUUUAUCCAUGCUAGCGUUAUACGUAGGUCUUUCUGCAAUUAGCGUAGUAUGUGCUAGCUUGACUGAAUAUCAGUAUGUGUUUAUUUGUGUCAAUGCCGUGCUAGUGAUUUACUCGUGGAUUAAUUUAAUCGAGAAAUUGCCUAUUUACUCAACAGCAACUACAAGUUUUCAAAUUGGGAUCGCAAUUGCAAGUUAUUCAAUUCAUGUCGCAACUGCAAGUUUUGAUGCUGGGUCGCAACUGCAAGUUUUCAAAUUGGGAUCGCAAUUGCAAGUUACUCAAAUCAGGUCGCAACUACAAUUUUCUAAUUUAGAUUGUAUUGCAAGUUUUUCAAAUGGGAUUGCAACUUCAAUUUGUCAAUUUGAAUCACGACUGCAAGUUUUUCAAAUGAGGUCGCAACUGGAAUUUUAUAAAUGGGAUCGUAAUUGCAAGUUUUCGAAAUGGGGUCGCAACUGCAAGUUUACAAAUUGGGAUCACAACUGCAAGUUUUUCAAACGGGGUUAAAACUUUAGUUUUAUAAAUGGGAUUGUGGUUGCAAGUUUUGUCAAUAGGGUAGCAAUUGCAAGUUUUCAAAGUUGAAUCGCAACUGCAAGUUUUUCAAAUGAGGUCGCAACAACAAUUUAAUAAAUGGGAUUGUAAUUGCAAGUGUUUUACAUGGGGUAGCAACAGUGAGUUUUAAGUCGGGUCGCAACUGCAAGUUUUCAAAUCAGGAUUGCAACUGCAGUUUUUUAAAAUGAGCUCGCAACUGUAGUUUUAUAAAUGAGUUUGUAAUUGCAAUUUUUUUAAAUGGGGUCGCUUUGCAACCCACACACAACUUACUAAAAUUGCGCAUAGUUUUUUUACCUUUUUUUCUUAAUGUGCAUGACUCCCCAUCCACCACAUCCCACACACAAGUAGACUUCCAUGCAAAAAAAAUUCCAUUGUCAGGUUAGCAUCCACUGCACUGGCGGAGGCCUCCGGUGGGCAGGGUAUGGCAGCCGCCAUACCUUAAUUAUGAGCAAAACAAAAUCAUAUACCUAUGUAUCUUACGGCUGCCUCGCUGGUUUGUUUUGACCGCUAGCUGUUUUUCUAAAAGGAGAGAUGGGCCGAUGCAUCCAGCUAGUUGGGCCAAGAAUCCGACGAGGCCACACACGACUCGAUGUCUCUCGAUCGAGUGCACAAGCACGAAGCAGCAACCCCUCAAAAGAAAACGCACGAAGCAGCAACCACCGGUUGAGCCAGUUUGAGCACACACGACUCGAUGUCUCUAUCGACACACAUGACCUGCCUAUCACGGCAGAUCGCAGACGCUGGUUGUGAGAACCCACAAGUAUAGGGGAUCACAAUAGCUUUCGAGGGUAGAGUAUUAAACCCAAAUUUGUUGAUUCGACACAAGGGGAGCCAAAGAAUAUUCUCAAGUAUUAGUAGCUGAGUUGUCAAUUCAACCACACCUGGAAACUUAGUAUCUGCAGCAAAGUGUUUAGUAGCACAGUAAUAUGAUAGUGGUGGUAGCGGCAACAAAAGUAAAGACAACAAAAGUAACAUUUUUGGUAUUUUGUAGUGAUUGUAACAAUAGCAGCGGGAAAGUAAAUAAGCGAGAACCAGUAUAUGGAAAACUCGUAGGCACCGAAUCAGUGAUGGAUAAUUAUGCCAGAUGCGGUUCAUCAUGUAACAGUCAUAACAUAGGGUGACACAGAACUAGCUCAAAUUCAUCAAUGUAAUGUAGGCAUGUAUUCCGUAUAUAGUCAUACGUGCUUAUGGAAAAGAACUUGCAUGACAUCUAUUGUCCUACCCUCCGGUGGCAGCGGGGUCCUAUUGGAAACUAAGGGAUAUUAAGGCCUCCUUUUAAUAGAGAACCGGAACAAAGCAUUAGCACAUAGUGAAUACAUGAACUCCUCAAACUAUGGUCAUCACCGGGAGUGGUCCCGAUUAUUGUCACUUCGGGGUUGUCGGAUCAUAACACAUAGUAGGUGACUAUAGACUUGCAAGAUAGGAUCAAGAACUCACAUAUAUUCAUGAAAACAUAAUAGGUUCAGAUCUGAAAUCAUGGCACUCGGGCCCUAGUGACAAGCAUUAAGCAUAGCAAAGUCAUAGCAACAUCAAUCUCAGAACAUAAUGGAUACUAGGGAUCAAACCCUAACAAAACUAACUCGAUUACAUGAUAAAUAUCAUCCAACCCAUCACCAUCCAGCAAGCCUACGAUGGAAUUACUCACGUACGGCGGUGAGCAUCAUGAAAUUGGUGAUGGAGGAUGGUUGAUGAUGAUGACGGCGACGAAUCCCCCUCUCCGGAGCCCCGAACGGACUCCAGAUCGGCCCUUCCGAGAGGUUUUUGGGCUUGGCGGUGGCUCUGUGUCGUAAAACACGAUGAUUUCUUCUCUCUGAUUUUUUUCUCUUCGAAAGCAAAUAUAUAGAGUUGGAGUUGGCGUCAGAGGGCAUCUAGGGGGCCCACGAGGUAGGGGGGCGCGCCCUAGGGGGGGCGCCCCCCACCCUCGUGAGAAGGGUGUGGGCCCCUGGUCUUCAUCUUUGGAGAGGAUUUUUUAUUAUUUUUCUAAGAUGUUCCAUGGAGUUCCAGGUCAUUCUAAGAAUAUUUGUUUUCUGCACAUAAAACAACACCAUGGCAAUUCUGCUGAAAAAAGCGUCAGCCUGGGUUAGUUCCAUUCAAAUCAUACAAGUUAGAGUCCAAAACAAGGGCAAAAGUGUUUGGAAAAGUAGAUACGACGGAGACGUAUCAACUCCCCCAAGCUUAAACCCUUGCUUGUCCUCAAGCAAUUUAGUUGACAAACUGAAAGAAAGAAAGAAAAGCUUUUACAAACUCUGUUUGCUCUUGCUGUUGUAACUAUGUCAAGCCAGCAUUCAAGUUUUCAGCAUAGAUCAUAACUAACCACAUUUGCAAUAAUUCUCAGGUCUCAUAACUACUCAUAUCAAUAGCAUAAUCAACUAGCAAGCCAUAAUAAUAAAUCUCGGAUGACAACACUUUCUCAAAACAAUCAUAAUAUGAUAUAACAAGAUGGUAUCUCGCUAGCCCUUUCUGAGACCGCAAAACAUAAAUGCAGAGCACCUUUAAAGAUCAAGGACUGACUAGACAUUGUAAUUCAUGGUAAAAGAGAUCCAAUCAUAGUCAUACCCAAUGUAAAUUAACAGUGAUGAAUGCAAAUGACAACUGUGCUCUCCAGCUAGUGCUCUUUAAUAAGAGGGUGAUGACUCAACAUAAAAGUAAAUGGAUAGGCCCUUUGCAGAGGGAAGCAGGGAUUUGUAGAGGUGCCAGAGCUCGGUUUUGCAAUGGAGAUAAAUUGUAUUUUGAACGGUAUACUUUCAUUGUCAAUGUAGUAACUAAGAGAUGGCAAUAUCUUCCAUGCUAAACACAUUACAGGCGGUUCCCAAACAGAAUGGUAAAGUUUAUACUCCCCCUCCACCAACAAGCAUCAACCCAUGGCUUGCUCGAAACAACGAGUGCCUCCAACAUACAUCAGGUCCUAGGGGGAGUUUUGUUUGCAAUUAAUUUUGAUUUAGUUUGCAUAAAGCAUGGGACUGGGCAUCCCGGUGACCAGCCAUUUUCUCGUGAGUGAGGAGCGGAGUCCACUCCUCUUGAGAAUAACCCGCCUAACACGGAAGAUAAGGACAACCUUGGUUGAUACAUGAGCUAUUCGAGCAUACAAAACAGAAUGUUUAUUUGAAGGUUUAGAGUUUGGCACAUACAAAUUUACUUGGAAUGGCAGGUAGAUACUGCAUAUAGGAAGGUAUGGUGGACUCAUCUGGAAUAACUUUAGGGUUUAAGGGAUUGGAUGCACAAGCAGUAUUCCCGCUUAGUACAAGUGAAGACUAGCAAAAGACUGGGAAGCGACCAACUAGAGAGCGACAACAGCCAUGUACAUGCAUUAAAAUUAAUAAACAUUGGAUGCAAGCAUGAGUAGGAUAUAAUCCACCAUGAACAUAAAUAUCAAGGCUAUAUUGAUUUAUUUCAACUACAUGCGUAAACAUGUGCGAAGUCAAGUCACUUAAAUCAUUCAAAGGAGGAUACCACCCCAUCAUACCACAUCAUAAUUAUCUCAAUAGCAUGUUGGCACACAAGGUAAACCAUUAUAACUCAUAGCUAAUCAAGCAUGGCAUAAGCAACUAUGAUCUCUAAUUGUCAUUGCAAACAUGUUUAUUCAUAAUAAGCUGAAUCAAGAAUGAGGGACUCAUCAUAUUUACAAAAAACAAAAGAGGUCGAGUUCAUACCAGCUUUUCUCAUCUCAGUCAGUCCAUCAUAUAUCAUCAUAAUUGCCUUUCACUUGCACGACCGAACGGUGUGAAUAAUAAUAAGAGUGCAUGUGCAUUGGACUAAGCUGGAAUCUGCGAGCAUUCAAUAAACAGGAGAAGACAAGGAAAUAUGGGCUCUGGGUUAAAUCAACAAUAAUGCAUAUAAGAGACACUUCAACAAUUUAAUUAUGGUCUUCUCCUACUGACCCCCAAAGAAAAGAAAAGAAAUAAAACUAUUUACACGGGAAAGCUCCCAACAAGCAAAAGAAGAACGGGAAAUAUUUUUGGGUUUUCUUUUUAAUUAUUACUACUACAACAAAAAAAUAAACUACCACUAAUUUUUUUGGUUUUUUUAAGGUUUAACAAACACACAAGAAGAAAGCAGGAAAAAGAAAAUAAACUAGCAUGGAUAUUACAGUGAAAAAGUAUGAGCACCGACAUCUAGCAAUGAGUGUGUGUGAACAUAAAUGCAAUGUCGGUGAGAAACACGUACUCCUCCAAGCUUAGGCUUUUGGCCUAAGUUGGUCUAUGGCCACGGCUGGCCUGGCGGAUAUCCAUAAUAAUAGUUGUUGGGGUCGUACUGUGACGAAGAAUAGUUGGGAUCAUACUGAUGUGCAGUGGUUAUUGUUGGGGAACGUUGCAGAAAAUUAAAAAUUUUCCUACGGUUUCACCAAGAUCCAUCUAUGAGUUCAUCUAAGCAACGAGUCUAGGGAGAGAGUUUGCAUCUACAUACCACUUGUAGAUCGCGUGCGGAAGCUUGCAAGGUGAUGAUGUAGUCAUACUCGACGUGAUUCAAAUCACCGAUGACCUGCGCCGAACGGACGGCACCUCCGCGUUCAACACACGUACGGAAACAGCCACGUCUCCUCCUUCUUGAUCCAGCAAGGAAGGGAGGAGAGGUUGAGGGAGAUGGCACCAGCAGCAGCACGACGGCGUGGUGUUGGUGGAGCUGCAGUACUCCGGCAGAGCUUCGCUAAGCGCUAUGGAGUUGGAGGAGGUGUUGGAGAGGGAGAAGGAGGCAACCAAAGGCCAGGGCACAAGGUAUGAAGUCCCUCCUCUCCCCCCACUAUAUAUAGGGGUGCCAAGGGGGGGUGGCCGGCCCUAGGAGAUCAAAUCUCCUAGGGGGUGCGGCGGCCAAGGGGGGAUUCCCUCCCCCCCAAGGCACCUAGGAGGUGCCUUCCACUAGUAGGACUCCUCCCCCUUGGAAACCCUAGGCGCAUGGGCCUUGUGGGGCUGGUGCCCUUGGCCCAUGUAGGCCAAGGAGCACCCCCUACAGCCCAUGUGGCCCCCGGGGAUGGGUGGCCCCACCCGGUGGGCCCCCGGGACCCCUCCGGUGGUCCCGGUACAAUACCGAUAACCCCGAAACUUGUCCCGAUGCCCGAAACAGGACUUCCCAUAUAUAAAUCUUUACCUCCGGACCAUUCCGGAACUCCUCGUGACGUCCGGGAUCUCAUCCGGGACUCCGAACAACAUUCGGGUUACUGCAUAUACAUAUCCCUACAACCCUAGUGUGACUGAACCUUAAGUGUGUAGACCCUACGGGUUCGGGAGACAUGUAGACAUGACCGAGACUCUCUUAGUCAAUAACCAUCAGCGGGAUCUGGAUACCCAUGAUGGCUCCCACAUGCUCCUCGAUGUUGUCAUCGGAUGAACCACUAUGUCGAGGAUUCGAUCAAACCCUGUAUACAAUUCCCUUUGCCAAUCGGUACGUUACUUGCCCGAGACUUGAUCGUCGGUAUCGCAAUACCUUGUUCAGUCUCGUUACCGGCAAGUCACUUUACUCGUACCGUAAUGCAUGAUCCCGUGUCCAACACCUUGGUCACUUUGAGCUCAUUAUGAUGAUGCAUUACCGAGUGGGCCCAGAGAUACCUCUCCGUCAUACGGAGUGACAAAUCCCAGUCUCGAUCCGUGUCAACCCAACAGCUACUUUCGGAGAUACCUGUAAUGCACCUUUAUAGUCACCCAGUUACGUUGUGACGUUUGGCACACCCAAGGCAUUCUUACGGUAUCCGGGAGUUACACGAUCUCAUGGUCGAAGGAAGAGAUACUUGACACUUGCAAAGCUCUAGCAAAACGAACUACACGAUCUCUUAUGCUAUGCUUAGGAUUGGGUCUUGUCCAUCACAUCAUUCUCCUAAUGAUGUGAUCCCGUUAUCAAUGACAUCCAAUGUCCAUAGUCAGGAAACCAUGACUAUCUGUUGAUCACAACGGGCUGGUCAACUAGAGGCUUACCAGGGACAUAGUGUGGUCUAAGUAUUCACACGUGUAUUACGAUUUCCGGAUAAUACAGUUAUAGCAUGAAUACAAGACAAUUAUCAUGAACAAUGAAAUAUAAUAAUACUUUUAUUAUUGCCUCUAGGGCAUAUUUCCAACAGUCUCCCACUUGCACUAGAGUCACUAAUCUAGUUACAUUGUGAUGAAUCGAACACCCAUAGAGUUCUGGUGUUGAUCAUGUUUUGCACGCGAGAGAGGUUUAGUCAGUGGAUCUGCGACAUUCAGAUCCGUGUGUACUUUGCAAAUCUCUAUGUCUCCAUCUUGAACAUUUUCACGGAUGGAGUUGAAAUGACGCUUGAUGUGCCUGGUCUUCUUGUGAAACCUGGGCUCCUUUGCGAGGGCAAUAGCUCCAGUGUUGUCACAGAAGAGUUUGAUCGGCCCCGACGCAUUGGGUAUGACUCCUAGGUCGGUGAUGAACUCCUUCACCCAAAUCGCUUCAUGUGCUGCCUCCGAGGCUGCCAUGUACUCCGCUUCACACGUAGAUCCCGCCACGACGCUCUGCUUGCAGCUGCACCAGCUUACUGCUCCACCAUUCAACAUAUACACGUAUCCGGUUUGUGACUUAGAGUCAUCCGGAUCUGAGUCAAAGCUAGCGUCGACGUAACCCUUUACGACGAGCUCUUCGUCUCCUCCAUAAACGAGAAACAUGUCCUUUGUCCUUUUCAGGUACUUCAGGAUAUUCUUGACCGCUGUCCAGUGUUCCUUGCCGGGAUUACUUUGGUAUCUUACGGCAAGGUUUACAUCAGGUCUGGUACACAGCAUGGCAUACAUAAUAGAUCCUAUGGCUGAAGCAUAGGGGAUGACACUCAUCUCUUCUUUAUCUUUUGCCGUGGUCGGUGACUGAGCUGAGCUCAGUCUCAUACCUUGUAACAUAGGCAAGAACCCCUUCUUGGACUGAUCCAUUCUGAAUCUCUUCAAAAUCUUAUCAAGGUAUGUACUUUGUGAAAGACCUAUGAGGCGUCUCGAUCUAUCUCUAUAGAUCUUGAUGCCUAAUAUAUAAGCAGCUUCUCCAAGGUCCUUCAUUGAAAAACACUUAUUCAAGUAGGCCUUAAUGCUGUCCAGAAAUUCUAUAUUAUUUCCCAUCAGGAGUAUGUCAUCUACAUAUAAUAUGAGAAAUGCUACAGAGCUCCCACUCACUUUCUUGUAAACGCAGGCUUCUCCAUAAGUCUGCAUAAAUCCAAACGCUUUGAUCAUCUCAUCAAAGCGAAUGUUCCAACUCCGAGAUGCUUGCACCAUUCCAUAAAUGGAUCGCUGGAGCUUGCAUACUUUGUUAGCGUUCUGAGGAUCGACAAAACCUUCCGGCUGCAUCAUAUACAGUUCUUCCUUAAGAUGCCCGUUAAGGAAUGCUGUUUUGACGUCCAUCUGCCAUAUCUCAUAAUCAUAGUAUGCGGCAAUUGCUAACAUGAUUCGGACGGACUUUAGCUUCGCUACGGGAGAGAAUGUCUCGUCAUAGUCAAUCCCUUGAACCUGUCGAUAACCCUUAGCGACAAGUCGAGCUUUAUAGAUGGUAACAUUACCAUCCGCGUCCGUCUUCUUCUUAAAGAUCCAUUUGUUUUCUAUCGCUCGCCGAUCAUCGGGCAAGUCUGUCAAAGUCCAUACUUUGUUUUCAUACAUGGAUUCUAUCUCGGAUUUCAUGGCUUCAAGCCAUUUGUUGGAAUCCGGGCCCGUCAUUGCUUCUUCAUAGUUCGAAGGUUCAUUGUUGUCUAACAACAUGAUUUCCAGGACAGGGUUGCCGUACCACUCUGGUGCGGAACGUGUCCUUGUUGACCUACGAAGUUCAGUAGUAACUUGAUCCGAAGUACCUUGAUCAUUAUCAUGGUUUUCCUCUUCAGUUGGUGUGGGCAUCACAGGAAUGGUUUCCUGUGCUGUGUCACCAUCCCGCUCAAGAGGUAGUACUUCAUCGAGUUCCACUUUCCUCCCACUUACUUCUUUCGAGAGAAACUCUUUUUCCAGAAAGCAUCCGUUCUUGGCAACAAAGAUCUUGCCUUCGGAUCUUAAGUAGAAGGUAUACCCUAUAGUUUCCUUAGGGUAUCCUAUGAAUACGCAUUUUUCCGACUUGGGUUCGAGCUUUUCAGGUUGAAGUUUCUUGACAUAAGCUUCGCAUCCCCAAACUUUUAGAAACGACAGCUUAGGUUUCUUUCCAAACCAUAAUUCAUACGGUGUCGUCUCAACGGAUUUAGACGGUGCCCUAUUUAAAGUGAAUGUAGCUGUCUCUAGAGCGUAUCCCCAAAAUGAUAGCGGUAAAUCGGUAAGAGACAUCAUAGACCGCACCAUAUCAAAUAGAGUGCGAUUACGACGUUCGGACACACCGUUUCGCUGAGGUGUUCCAGGCGGCGUGAGCUGUGAAACGAUUCCACAUUUCUUUAAGUGUGUACCAAAUUCGUGACUCAAGUAUUCUCCUCCACGAUCUGAUCGUAAGAAUUUUAUCUUUCGGUCACGUUGAUUCUCCACCUCAUUCUGAAAUUCCUUGAACUUUUCAAAGGUCUCAGACUUGUGUUUCAUUAAGUAGACAUACCCAUAUCUACUCAAGUCAUCUGUGAGAGUGAGAACAUAACGAUAUCCUCCGCGAGCCUCAACGCUCAUUGGACCGCACACAUCGGUAUGUAUGAUUUCCAACAAGUUGGUUGCUCGCUCCAUUGUUCCGGAGAACGGAGUCUUGGUCAUUUUACCUAAGAGGCAUGGUUCGCACGUGUCAAAUGAUUCAUAAUCAAGAGACUCUAAAAGUCCAUCAGCAUGGAGCUUCUUCAUGCGCUUGACACCAAUGUGACCAAGGCGGCAGUGCCACAAGUAUGUGGGACUAUCGUUAUCAACUUUAAAUCUUUUGGCAUCUACACUAUGAACAUGUGUAAUAUUACGCUCGAGAUUUAUUAAGAAUAAACCAUUGACCAUCGGAGCAUGACCAUAAAACAUAUCUCUCAUAUAAAUCGAACAACCAUUAUUCUCAGACUUAAAUGAGUAGCCAUCUCGUAUUAAACGAGAUCCAGAUACAAUGUUCAUGCUCAAACUUGGCACUAAAUAACAAUUAUUGAGGUUCAAAACUAAUCCCGUAGGUAAAUGUAGAGGCAGCGUGCCGACGGCGAUCACAUCGACUUUGGAACCAUUCCCGACGCGCAUCGUCACCUCGUCCUUUGCCAGUCUCCGUUUAUUCCGCAGCUCCUGCUGUGAGUUACAAAUAUGAGCAACGGCACCGGUAUCAAAUACCCAGGAGUUACUACGAUUACUGGUAAGGUACACAUCAAUCACAUGUAUAUCAAAUAUACCUUUGGUGUUGCCGGCCUUCUUAUCCGCUAAGUAUUUGGGGCAGUUCCGCUUCCAGUGACCCUUCCCCUUGCAAUAAAAGCACUCAGUCUCAGGCUUGGGUCCAUUCUUUGACUUCUUCCCGGUAACUGGCUUACCAGGCGCGGCAACAUCUUUGCCGUCCUUCUUGAAGUUCUUCUUGCCCUUGCCCUUCUUGAACUCAGUGGUCUUAUUGACCAUCAACACUUGAUGUUCUUUCUUGAUUUCAGCCUCUGCUGACUUCAGCAUCGAGAACAAUUCAGGAAUGGUCUUUUCCAUUCCUUGCAUGUUGUAGUUCAUCACAAAGCUCUUGUAGCUUGGUGGGAGCGACUGGAGGAUUCUGUCAAUGACCGCCUCAUCUGGGAGGUUAAUGUUUAGCUGGGUCAUACGGUUGUGCAACCCAGACAUCUUCAGGAUGUGCUCACUGACAGAACUGUUUUCCUCCAUCUUACAACUGUAGAACUUGUCGGAGACAUCAUAUCUCUCGACCCGGGCAUGAGCUUGAAAAACUAGUUUCAGCUCUUCGAACAUCUCAUAUGCUCCGUGAUGCUCAAAACGCUUUUGGAGCCCCGGUUCUAAGCUGUAAAGCAUGCCGCACUGAACGAGGGAGUAAUCAUCAGCGCGAGUUUGCCAAGCAUUCAUAAUGUUUUGGUUCUCUGGGACGGGAGCGUCACCUAGCGGUCCUUCUAGGACAUAUUGUUUCCUGGCAGCUAUGAGGAUGAUCCUCAGGUUCCGGACCCAGUCCGUAUAGUUGCUGCCAUCAUCUUUCAGCUUGGUUUUCUCUAGGGACGCGUUGAAGUUCAUGUUGACAUUAGCGUUGGCCAUUGAUCUACAAGACAUAUUUGCAAAGGUUUUAGACUAUGUUCAUGAUAAUAAAGUUCUAAUCAAAUUAUGAACUCCCACUUAGAUUAGACAUCCCUUUAGUCAUCUAAGUGUUACACGAUCCGAGUCGACUAGCCCGUGUCCGAUCAUCACGUGAGACAGACUAGUCAUCGUCGGUGAACAUUUUCAUGUUGAUCGUAUCUUCUAUACGACUCGUGUUCGACCUUUCGGUCUCCGUGUUCCGAGGCCAUGUCUGCACAUGCUAGGCUCGUCAAGUUAACCCUAAGUGUUUUCGCUGUGUAAAACUGUCUUACACCCGUUGUAUGUGAACGUAAGAAUCCAUCACACCCGAUCAUCACGUGGUGCUUAGAAACGACGAACUGUAGCAACGGUGCACAGUUAGGGGAGAACACUUCUUGAAAUUUUAUAAGGGAUCAUCUUAUUUACUACCAUCGUCCUAAGUAAACAAGAUGUAUAAUACAUAAUAAACAUCACAUGCAAUUAUAUAGUUGUGACAUGAUAUGGCCAAUAUCAUAUAGCUCCAUUGAUCUUCAUCUUCGGGGCUCCAUGAUCAUCUUGUCACCGGCUUGACACCAUGAUCUCCAUCAUCAUGAUCUCCAUCAUCGUGUCUUCAUGAAGUUGUCACGCCAACGACUACUUCUACUUCUAUGACUAACGUUUAGCAAUAAAGUAAAGUAGUUUACAUGACGUUAUUCAAUGACACGCAGGUCAUACAAAAAAAUAAUGACAACUCCUAUGGCUCCUGCCGGUUGUCAUACUCAUCGACAUGCAAGUCGUGAAUCCUAUUACAAAGAACAUGAUCUCAUACAUCACAAUUCAUCAUUCAUCACAACUUCUGGCCAUAUCACAUCACAUGAUCAAUCGCUGCAAAAACAAGUUAGACGUCUUCUAAUUGUUGUUGCAUCUUUUACGUGGCUGCAAUUGGGUUCUAGCAAGAACGUUUUCUUACCUACGAAUCACCACAACGUGAUUUUGUCAACUUCUAUUUACCCUUCAUAAGGGCCCUGUUCAUCGAUUCCGCUCCAACUAAAGUGGGAGAGACAGACACCCGCCAGCCACCUUAUGCAACUAGUGCAUGUCAGUCGGUGGAACCGGUCUCACGUAAGCGUACGUGUAAGGUUGGUCCGGGCCGCUUCAUCCCACAAUGCCGUCGAAGCAAGAAACGACUAGUAGAGGCAAGUAAGAUGACAAGAUCCACGCCCACAACAAAAUUGUGUUCUACUCGUGCAAAGAGAACUACGCAUAAACCUAGCUCAUGAUGCCACUGUUGGGGAACGUUGCAGAAAAUUAAAAAUUUUCCUACGGUUUCACCAAGAUCCAUCUAUGAGUUCAUCUAAGCAACGAGUCUAGGGAGAGAGUUUGCAUCUACAUACCACUUGUAGAUCGCGUGCGGAAGCUUGCAAGGUGAUGAUGUAGUCGUACUCGACGUGAUUCAAAUCACCGAUGACCUGCGCCGAACGGACGGCACCUCCGCGUUCAACACACGUACGGAAACAGCCACGUCUCCUCCUUCUUGAUCCAGCAAGGAAGGGAGGAGAGGUUGAGGGAGAUGGCACCAGCAGCAGCACGACGGCGUGGUGUUGGUGGAGCUGCAGUACUCCGGCAGAGCUUCGCUAAGCGCUAUGGAGUUGGAGGAGGUGUUGGAGAGGGAGAAGGAGGCAACCAAAGGCCAGGGCACAAGGUAUGAAGUCCCUCCUCUCCCCCCACUAUAUAUAGGGGUGCCAAGGGGGGGUGUCCGGCCCUAGGAGAUCAAAUCUCCUAGGGGGUGCGGCGGCCAAGGGGGGAUUCCCUCCCCCCCAAGGCACCUAGGAGGUGCCUUCCACUAGUAGGACUCCUCCCCCUUGGAAACCCUAGGCGCAUGGGCCUUGUGGGGCUGGUGCCCUUGGCCCAUGUAGGCCAAGGCGCACCCCCUACAGCCCAUGUGGCCCCCGGGGAUGGGUGGCCCCACCCGGUGGGCCCCCGGGACCCCUCCGGUGGUCCCGGUACAAUACCGAUAACCCCGAAACUUGUCCCGAUGCCCGAAACAGGACUUCCCAUAUAUAAAUCUUUACCUCCGGACCAUUCCGGAACUCCUAGUGACGUCCGGGAUCUCAUCCGGGACUCCGAACAACAUUCGGGUUACUGCAUAUACAUAUCCCUACAACCCUAGCGUGACUGAACCUUAAGUGUGUAGACCCUACGGGUUCGGGAGACAUGUAGACAUGACCGAGACUCUCUUAGUCAAUAACCAUCAGCGGGAUCUGGAUACCCAUGAUGGCUCCCACAUGCUCCUCGAUGUUGUCAUCGGAUGAACCACUAUGUCGAGGAUUCGAUCAAACCCUGUAUACAAUUCCCUUUGCUAAUCGGUACGUUACUUGCCCGAGACUUGAUCGUCGGUAUCGCAAUACCUUGUUCAGUCUCGUUACCGGCAAGUCACUUUACUCGUACCGUAAUGCAUGAUCCCGUGUCCAACACCUUGGUCACUUUGAGCUCAUUAUGAUGAUGCAUUACCGAGUGGGCCCAGAGAUACCUCUCCGUCAUACGGAGUGACAAAUCCCAGUCUCGAUCCGUGUCAACCCAACAGCUACUUUCGGAGAUACCUGUAAUGCACCUUUAUAGUCACCCAGUUACGUUGUGACGUUUGGCACACCCAAGGCAUUCUUACGGUAUCCGGGAGUUACACGAUCUCAUGGUCGAAGGAAGAGAUACUUGACACUUGCAAAGCUCUAGCAAAACGAACUACACGAUCUCUUAUGCUAUGCUUAGGAUUGGGUCUUGUCCAUCACAUCAUUCUCCUAAUGAUGUGAUCCCGUUAUCAAUGACAUCCAAUGUCCAUAGUCAGGAAACCAUGACUAUCUGUUGAUCACAACGGGCUGGUCAACUAGAGGCUUACCAGGGACAUAGUGUGGUCUAAGUAUUCACACGUGUAUUACGAUUUCCGGAUAAUACAGUUAUAGCAUGAAUACAAGACAAUUAUCAUGAACAAUGAAAUAUAAUAAUACUUUUAUUAUUGCCUCUAGGGCAUAUUUCCAACAGUUAUCGCCCUCUGAGCUGCAGCGUGGAGUCGAGCUACCUCCGCUCUCCUCUCGUACUCUUCUGCCUCCUCUCUGGUAAUAACAUAUCUCCUUUUUGUCUAUGAAUCAAAGAAGGCAGGAGCAGGGAGAGUAAUACAGAAAACACGUCGUUUAUCAAAAAUUAAACGAUAUAAGAGAGGUGAUUCAGGCCUCUCGACAAACUGGUGCGAAGCCAUAGAGUCAUAAUCUAAAUAUGCAGGAGGAAACUCUGUAUCACCCUCAUGAAUGUCUAUCUCAAGAAAAUGAGCUAAGCGGGUUGCAUAAAUUCCUCCAAAGAAAUCUCCAUUAUGUCUAUUAUGAUGCAACCUACGAGCUACAAUGGCUCCCAUAUGAUAAGAUUGGUCUCCUAACACAGCACUCCUGAGAAUGCUAAGAUCAGGGACACACAUGUGACAUGCUUCAUCCUUAGCAUUUAUGCAUCUACCGAUGAAGAGAGCAAAAUAAUGUAUAGCAGGAAAGUGAAUGCUCCCUAUGGUAGCCUACGUUAUAUCUCUAGAUUCCCCUACAGUUAUACUAGCAAAAAAGUUUCUAAAUUCAGAUUUAGGGGGAUCCCUAAUACUACCCCAUGAUGGAAGUUUGCAUGCAAGAGUGAAAUCCUCUAGGUCCAUGGUAUAAGAUUUGUCAUAAAGAUCAAACAUGACUGAAGGAGAAUUACGCGAAGAUGAAUACUCAAACCUCCUCACAAAUGAACUUGUGAGAUCAUGAUACUGGGGGCAUUUGUUAGCCUCAAAAUCCUCAAGACCGGCAUUGCGCAAAUAUGCUUUGAAUUCUUCUUUAAUUCCCGCACGGUCCAUAAAAUUUUUCAACGGCCAUUCGCAAGGCCGUACUGGAGCGUCUCUUGGUGGAUCCUCGUCGGCAUCGCGCAUAGCAAUCCUGGGUCCUUGCUUCUUAGAGGAAUCACCUUGGAACAUCUUCCUAAGCAUAUUGUUUUUCUCUGAAAGAUUCUGAAAUUUUUAGUAACUUCAAACAAAAGUAAACCAAACUCAAUAAUAUUGAUAGCAACUACUCCUACAAGUGCCUAGAACCUAUAUCAAGCAUUAGAACUAUUUGGAACCAUAUAAAUUUGACAUGCAAGCUCAAGAACAUGGUCACCUAUGCAGCACAAAUUUGCAAAGAAUAAAGCAGUAGAACAAAAACAAAUUGGACCAAUGGAGGAGUCACAUACCAAGGAACAAUCUCCCCAGACAGUUUUGCGAGAGGUGCUUUGAGCAAGGAGAUCGAAAAUCACAGCAAAAGUGGCUGGAACUCGUGUUUGAGUUGGUUUUUCGGGUUUUUGUGAGAGAGAAAGAAGAUGGGUGCCGGGAUAAGUGGAGGAGGGCCACCGUGGGCCCACGAGGCAGGGGGGCACGCCCUAGAGGGGGGGAGCGCCCACCACCCUCGUGGCCAGGUGGCAGCUCCUCCCGCGGUAAUUUUUGCACAGUAAAUCCUCAAAUAUUCCCGAAAAAAUCAUAUUAAAUUGGCAUGGCAUUCUGAGGACUUUUAUUUUCGGGAUAUUUUUAUAUUGCACGGAUAAGUCAGGAAACAGACAGAAAAAUUACUAUUUUUACUUUAUUUAAUAUAAGUAACAGAAAGUAAAAGUGGGGUACAGAAGGUUGUGCUUCUAGUUUCAUCCAUCUCAUGCUCAUCAAAAAUAAUCCACUAACAAGGUUGAUCAAGUCUUGUUAACAAACUCAUUCCGAUUAACAUGAAACCGGAGAAAUUUCGAAUGUCACUAGGUUACCUCAAUGGGGAUAUGCACAUCCCCUAUAGUAAGUAUAUCAUAUUUCUUUUUGAUAGUAGGAAGAGGAAAUUCAAAACCUCCUAUUAUAAUCGAUGGAAUUUUUCCAAUGGAGUUGAUACUAUGAACUUGAGGUUGUUUCCUCGAAAAGUGUAUCGUAUGCUCAUUACCAUUAACAUGAAAAGUGACAUUGCCUUUGUUGCAAUCAAUAACAGCCCCUGCAGUAUUAAGAAAAGGUCUUCCAAAAAUAAUAGACAUACUAUCAUCCUCGGGAAUAUCAAGUAUAACAAAGUCUGUUAAAAUAGUAACGUUUGCAACCACAACAGGCACAUCCUCACAAAUACCGACAGGUAUAGCAGUUGAUUUAUCAGUCAUUUACAAAGAUAUUUCAGUAGGUGUCAACUUAUUCAAGUCAAGUCUACGAUAUAAAGAGAAAGGCAUAACACUAACACCGGCUCCAAGAUCACAUAAAGCAGUUUUAAUAUAAUUUCUUUUAAUGGAGCAAGGUAUAGUAGGUACUCCGGGAUCUCCAAGUUUUUUUGGUAUUCCACCCUUAAAAGUGUAAUUAGCAAGCAUGAUGAAAAUCUCAUCUUCCGGUAUCUUUCUUUUAAUAGUAAUGAUAUUCUUCAUAUAUUUAGCAUAGGGAUUUGUUUUAAGCAUAUCAGUUAAUCGCAUACGCAAAAAGAUAGGCCUAAUCAUUUCAGCAAAGCGCUCAAAAUCCUCAUCAUCCUUUUUCUUGGAUGGUUUUGGAGGAAAAGGCAUGGGUUUCUGAACCCAAGGUUCCCUUUCUUUACCAUGUUUCCUAGCAACAAAGUCUUUUUUAUCAUAAUGUUGAUUCUUUGAUUGUGGGUUAUCAAGAUCAAUAGCAGGUUCAACUUCUACAUCAUUAUCAUUACUAGGUUGAGCAUCAUCAUGAACAUCAUUAUUAAUAUUUUCAUUAGGUUCAUGUUCAUUACCAGAUUGUGUUUCAGCCUAAAACCAAUCCUAUAUCAAUUUUGAUAACUUGGAGUUCAUCGAGACUAUGAAUAAUGGAGGACGCUCGGCAGGAGUGGCGGCGGCAAUUUUGGAUGAUUGUUAUUUUGUUGCUUCUGAUUUUUCUGUGUCCAAGUUUGAACAUUGUAAUAGAGAGGCAAAUAAAGUAGCUCAUGAACUUGCUUGGUUGGCUAGAUUUUCUGAUACUGUUAAUUGGUUUGAGGAGCCAUUGAAUGAAAUUGAACCCUUCCUCUUAAACAAUGUAUCAGUUAUUUCGAUUGAAUAAAGUUAGUAUGUUUAAAAAAAAACCAACCGCAAGUUUGUGGGUCCGGACUGGGUCAAUCUAAAACUCAACGUAUCGCUUCUGCAACAUACAGAAGGAGGAAAGGGAAGCAAAUGACAUACCGAAGGAUGGCAAAGGCGUCGAUAGCUCAUUGCUUACUGCGUUUUCCCGUCAAAAAAAGUGUAGCUCUCACAAUUACCUCUAUAAUCUUGUACUCCCUCCGUUCCUAAAUACUUGUCUUUCUAGUCAUUUCAACAAGUGACUACAUACGGAGCAAAAUGAGUGAAUCUACACUCUAAAAUAUGUCUAUAUACAUCCGUAUGUAGUAGUCAUUUGAAAUGUUUAGAAAGACAAAUAUUUAGGAACGGAGGGAGUAGUUGCGAGUGAAACAUAGAUCGGUACCAGUAGUUUCAUAGGAGAAAUAUUUCCAUACAUGGCCAAUAAUACUACAAACAUGGAGGUUUAUAAGCUUUCUACAGAUUUUUUUUUCCUGACGUUCGCAACUCCACUCUCUUUCUCUUUAUAUACAGAUAAACGAUGCCUUGAAUGAAUCAACAAUGAUGCAAAAGAGGUGAAAAUGACAAGAAAAUGACAUUAUGCGAACAAACAAGUCUCGAUUUCUUCCAAACGCACGCACAACAUGUGAAAACCGCGCAAAAUCUGACAAGAAAAUGACAGCAAUAGAAAUGAAACCCCUCUUGCCUCCCUCUUCCUC
rnacentral:lncRNA from 1 species